rnacentral:lncRNA from 1 species
CCAGAAAAAUUAAGAUUUAAAGAUGAGUUAAAAGUAAAUUUUUUGUCCCUUGCACUUGCCUGAAUUAGUUGGUACUUGGUAGUAGGGUCAAAAUAAUCUUCUCCCCAAAGACAAUAAUUGCAGCAACAAUUGGAAGAGAUCAAAAGAAAUUAACAGCAAGCAAAGAGACUUCUAAUAAAGCAUAAAACAGAUUAAGGUUUUUUUUUUUUUUUUGUGUGCGUGUGUGUGAGAGAGAUGAGAAGUAUGGUCAAUAAGGCAGUUGUUGUUAAACGCGACAGUCGUGAGUUAUCACAUUGGAACUUUGAAAGAGGAGAUUUAUGUAUCAGCAAGGAACAUAUAAAGCUAACAUAUUUCAACAUGGUUUAGAAGUUCAGCAUAUUCCUACUUCUCAUACAGGUGCAAUGGCUUUCUAUUAAGUUGGUCAGUAGAAAACUUUGCCUUAGGCUUUCCUCUUCUCCAAGAAAGACCUAUACAGAUUUUUCUCUUUUGCCCCUCUAAGAAACUAAAGUUUGAUUUUUUUACCCUGUUCUCCCACCUGCAGCUUGACCAUUCUCUUCAAAGCAAGAACAUUGUUCGGUCAUUGUAGGUAGAGCAUUGAUAUCUUUGAAAACUUUCAAGAGAUACAAGUUCGAAGGAGACAUACCAAAAGAAUUCCCAAAUUCUCCUCCGCAGAAGCUUGACCAUUUCGAUGAUUCUGCAAAACGAAUGACAUAGCAUAGACCGAAUAAUCAAAACAAGGUAAAACACAAAAGGUGCAUUGGUAGCAACUAGUUUUACAUGACAAUUAGCACAUCAUAACAAUAACCCCACGGGUUAAGUUGAUUUUGAAGUAUCAAAGAGUGUUGCUCAAAAGACUCGACCUUUCCUCCUUUUUACAGUAGUUAAUACAGAAGUGAUGAACAGUACAAAUUUGGUCAAACCAAAAACAGAAGCCUAGACAAUCUUUUCCCGAUGGAUGAAGUAUCAAAGACAAAGGAAAUAGCAAUUAGAACAGACAUCCAUAGUACCUCAAAUCUCCAUUCCUUCCCCAUCUCAACUUAUGUUCUCUAUCAGAUAUAAUUAAGUUUUCCAAACCUUAAUCGACAAACUGACAAAAGAGGCCAAUGCUAUUUGAUCAUAUUAAAGAUAACAUGCUUGAGUUGUCUCAUCUCAAAAACUUGUUUUAAUCCAUACUCCUUCAAUCCCAGAUAGAACUUCCACCUUUCUUUUAUGUGAAAAAAGAGCCGCAGAAAUAUCCUGCCAUGUGUAUUUGGCAAGUGAAAGGCUAGCACCAGUGAAACAUAAAGUGUAACAGAAACAAGAGGGUCCUUUUCUAAGUGAGACAUAAAGUGCAACAGUAACAAGAGGGUCCUUUUCUAAGUGAGAAUAAUUAGGACUGCCAUAAAACUAAUAUUUCACUUAGUUACACUACUAUUUCACUCGAUUAACUAAUUGUGAGACAUUAAGUCUUAUUUUUAAACACAAAUACAUGACCAGUUAUAAUUUACCAGUCACACUAUUAGAACAUAUGAUUGAGUUGACUCACCUGCAACAUUGCUAUGAGCAUUACAAGCAAUGCAUAGGAUCCAAUCCCACCAGUAUAAACCUGCAACACAAGAAGACAAUAAGUCAAAGCAGAAAAGAUUGAAACCUUAAACCAGCAAGCAACAUUAACAUGUUUCUACGCAUGUCUUUGCUGAGACUUAGCAACUUGGAUUAUUCUGUUUUUACACAUGUCUCUGCAGACAGUUAGCAACUUGGAUAUAUCAGAAGACAUUAGGAAUGCUUUACCUCAUUUAACUCUCUCUGUUGCAAGAACACUUUCAAAAUCAAGCAUAAUGGUCGCAGAGGGGGCCAGCUAGACAUGGCAUCCUAUAAAAGUUUGCAAAAACAAUAACAUCAGACACAGUUAAUUUCUACAUCACUGGAUUUUCACUGUUCAGCGAGUGGAAACGUCAGCACAAACCUUAAUAAAUUCAGCAGCUUUGGGUCCAUUUUCCACAUCAAAGCUGUCGCCACAGAACAGAAAAUUAGAGGUAUAAAGUUAACUAGAUACAGAACACAAAUGCUCUUCAGUCAAUAUCAGACUUAGUCAUUUGGGUUCAAAAGGAUGGCAGUCUUGUUUGCAUAGUAAGUACUUGGCUGAACUUCAGAGGAAGCUGAUAUAAAACAAUAAGGUAUAUCAAAGUGAUUUCAAGUUACCAAGAGUGAAAUGAGUCAUCAUAGGUUUUUUCUCUAACUUCCAAGAAGUGCAGAAGGAGAGAAAUUGGUCAACUCCUCAUUUAAUUUUGUUGGCUUGUUAAGACAAGGACUAAAUUCUAAACUAAUAUGGACAAAUUAACAAUCAAAUGCACCAGGUGAGAAACUCAAACCAAAAAAAAGGGAACAUAAGAACAGGAUUAGGUCAAAACACAAAAAAUGAAGUACAUCAUAAAAUCAGUGGAAUUAUUUGAAUUGGAUAAUGAACUGAAACCAGAAACCAAGUAUGGAGAAGCUGAAAGAAAAACAUAAACUCUCCUUAUGCACAGUUGCACACUAUCCACUGAUCAACAAGUAGGGGCAAGACAAUUCGAAGCAAGAGACUAAAUGGAAUAAGUUCUAGCAAAUGCAAUACAUAGCCUUUUUAGCUAUGAUUUCGGGAUAAAGACUAGCCAAAUAAACAUCAGCAAUAUGGAACUAUCUUCUACAAACUCAUAAUAUUGCCAGAAUCCCAUAGGCAUAAUAAAACCUUAUAUUGGCCGCUAAGAAGAAUCGAACCUUAUGUCAAAUGAAAUGCCACUUUUCUUCUCCACAAAUUUUAUUAUUGGCACACGAGCCUUUGAAAUCACCUGAUUCAGAGAAGUACAUGAAAAUUCCAGAUUAUAAGUUCUCUUUGCAGAAACCUAUCACGGGGGUUAGGGGGGAGAAAACAAAAGAAAAUGUUCCUCAUAGAGAGAUCACAGGGCCACGUUAUGCACCUGUAUCUUCUUCGCAACUCCUUUCUGUGAGAGAGCUCUGGAAAGAGCUUGUAACCCAAUUUGAGGACUUCUAAUUUCUGACCCUAAAAUCACCAGCUGUAUUUCAAAGAGUAGCUCAUUACUUUUAUUGUAACUUGAAUCAUUUUUGCUUCUACACCACAAUCAACCAACAAAUAAUAUAUGUCUGUGAAAAGAUCUGCAUUGCAGACAAAGAAAGUCUACAAUCUUAAACACAUUUACAACAUAGUAACCACCACAAUAUAGUAUCACGCUCCAGAAGUAUUUUGUCAAUAAGAAACUGUGUUUUCUUUUAUAAAAAAACGCAUUCUCUUUUGUUGGGUACGACAACAUUUACAGGUCCAACAUCAUAGAACAAGUGAUCAAGUACAGGAUGUCCAGGUUAGCAUGAUGCUUUUUGUAGCAUGUUACGGAGGAUCUGUAAACCUAAGUACCUAACUACAUCAGUAUUGAGGGGUAGGCGUUGUUGUUUGUGGAUAAAUAAGGUAUUGAAUGACAGUGUUAUUAUUAAUUAUUAAAACACGGAUUUCAAUUUAGCUCAACUUUUGAGCAGAAGUUGCAGCACUUUAAUGAGAAACUUUAAGGAAAAUAUAUUGUUACCGAGAAAGAAAAUCCAAAAUUAACUUGAAAAAAAAAAGAGUAAUCUUACAUCAACAUCACUAGUGGGAAGAUAAAGCCCUGUCUUGAAUGAUCCGAAAACCUCUGGCUGGAAAAAAAAAUUAAAAAGAACUUUAACACAGUGAAGCCAUUAGCUUUGUACAUCACAAGCAUAAUGUGCUAUAUAAGGAUGGAAUGGAAUGGAAAUGGGAAUGGCAAGUGUGAGCACACACCUUGCAGUUGGGCCAGAUAUAUUUAAUAACAUUAAAAACACAUUCUAUUGCUUCAUUACGAGAUGCUUGCUCCUCCAGUGUAGGUGAUAAAAACUCACAAAAAUCUAUUAUCUCUGCAAAUAUCACACACAGCAAGUUUAAGCAAAUUCAGCUGCAAAGCUGUAAGGUAAAAAAUAUGAACUUUCUAUAUAAGUAAGUAAAUUUAAAUAUGCACACACAAUAACACAUGCAUAUGUCUGUGUUUAUACUGUAAAUGCAUAUAUACAUAAUCCAGAAGCUGAUUCAAAAUUUAAAUUUUGUGAGCUCUACAUCGAUUUCAAGUUAAUAUACAAUAAUAACUAGGUUCACAAUCAAAUAUUUACAGAAUAGUUUAAUAGAUAUAUAAAAAUUUGAGCAAAAGCUGAUGGAUCCGCCUGAGCAAGUUUAGAGCAAAUUUAGCUUCUAAGAAGAAGAAUAUCAUACAUCAUCACCAGAAGAACAACGAAAACCAACACAACGUAGCUUUACCUUGGUGAAGCUGGAGCAUGGGACUCUUAAACCGACAAUUAGCACGAAACCAAUUGCCUUCAAGUCCUCUCUCUACUUCCUUAUCCGGCAAAGGAGUAGCAGCUGGUACCGGUGUCGAAACAGAGCUGGUAUUCAGGUCGGCGGCGUCUCCAUCGAGGUCGAGUGAAAAGUAAUCAGGCGCGGCAGUUUCCGGUGAGGGACACUGGAUAGUUGAUAGUGAAAUCUGGUUCCGGAAUACAACGUAGGGUUCAUGUUCGUCGGAGGACGACAACGACGGAGGAAAGUCGUCGGUGGCGGUGGUGGUGGUGCCGGCGGCGGAGAGUGGGCGGAGAGUUUCGUACAAAAUGCCAUCAACUUCCAUUGGUACUGAAAUCCGCACAAUGUGUCUCACAACAUUACGGUCGUGGAAUUAACUUGGACUGAUUUAGGGCUUUACUAUUGUUUUCUUUUCUAUUUUUCCUUUUAUUAAUUCGAAUUCACGUUGGAUAAAGGAUAAUAAAAAUAUUAUCGAAGCAAAUUUAGGCAAGUUGGGAAUUAUCUUGAAUUGCUUCGUGAUAAAACUAACUCAUAAAAAUAUAAUUUGUCCAAUGGCUAGAAAACCUAAAUCUAGUUUAGCACUUUGUUUUUAGGUGAGUUAGUAAAAAUUGAGAGGAUGAACUAUAACACAUUGUUUUAGCGAGUUAUUAAAAAAAUUGACGUGAUGAACUAUAACACAUUAUUUUAGCAAAUUAGUAAUAGAAUUGACGUGGUGAACUAUAACACAUUGUUUUAGCGAGUUAGUCACAAAAUUGACGAGAUCAACUUGAACACAUUGUUUUAGCGAGUUAGUAACAAAACUAACGGGAUGAACUAUAACACAUUGUUUUAGCUCAUCUCAAUAACACUCGACCUUGAUUAAUAAUCGAUCUAUUUAAUAAUUCAACUAAUUUUAACUCAUUUAUGAAUUUGACACCUCUAGCUUUGGGCGGAAGGGAGCUUUCCCCCUUAAAUAGGUUUGAUGUAGUGCAAAUCUGAAUUAAUCGAGUCAGUUAAUUUCACAUACUAGAUCAUUAUGCAAAGAGAAAGAGAGAAGAAGAAUAAUAAAGCCUAUAUAAAUUGUAGUAGAUGUAUCUAUACAUAUGAUAAACCAGAUGAACAAAUCAUUCAUCAUUCUCUAAUGAGCUCUACUUUUGCUGUUUAUGAACUCAUAAAAACAGUUAAGGAAACUCUGAACAAAAGCUAGAAAGAGCACUAAUAUGAAGCUAAUAAUGUACUAGUAUAUUUUACCCAAUUAAAGUUGAACUAGUUGGGCAACAUUAGUCUCAAUUCACCUAUUGUCAAAAUCCAAUGUCAGCAUGGUCUCAACUGAAGAAAUAAUUCGCGGUGUUUGCAGGAACAACAGGCGCUACUCCAGUCCCUCUCUGUGCCAAGUAAAGAAAUUUGUCGCAAUCCUUUACGCCAAUCUCCUUAAAUGCAUCUAUAACUGUCUUGAUGAAUCCGGCCAAAGAAGCCUUGAAAGUUGGUGAGCAGCUUUUGUCGCCCUCAUCAACAUCCUGAACACCACCCCGGACAAGGCUACCUACUUGAGCACCAUCUGUGUAUGCUUUACAUGCCACAAGAAUAUCUUGAGCACUUCGAAAGAAAUGCCCUAAUACAAAAUCUUCAAAAUACUGCAGCAAGAAGCGCAUUUGGAAUUAGUAGUUGAUUUAGAACCACAAGUGUGAAUGAAGUCAAGAAAUAGUCAUGAAGCAUAACAAUACAACCUAUUUUGGUAAUAUAUGGUUAAGAACCAUUGACGACGAUCACAGCAGGCAAAGAACAAAAGAAAAUAUGGAUACCUUUGGUGGACGCCUCAUGGAGAAGACCAUCGUUUUCAGAUUUAAAAUGUAAGUGUUCUCAUUAUACUGCAGUGAGCUUGCAUCUCCUCUGGUUGUCCCGCCUGUGUUUGCAUAACCGGGCUCAUUGAAAUAGGGUUUUGCAUUUAAAAUUAGCCCCUGUAUAGACACCAAGACUUGUAACAUAGUAGAUGCACGAGGGAUCCAUUUCUCCUUCCCUUGGCCAGUCCAAGUGUUAAGUAAACUCAGGCAGACUUUUCCACAGUUAUACAAAUUAGGAUUGAUUCGAAGGCCAAAGGAAUGGUAGUGCACAAGCUGGAAACAAUAGGUAGGGAGGUGUUAGGCUAAAGGUCGAACGGAUAAAGCAGUACAGGCCUCAGAGACAAAGCGAGAUACAUACCGGGGGGACACUGGGAUAGUUGCUUGGAAAGAAAACAUCAAAGAAGUAAAGGCCAUCAUGAUAUGGAGUUCCAUCAGCACCCAUGAUAACUGCUCUUAACAGAUCCAUUCUUGAUUCGUACACCCUGACAAAUAUUGUAUCUGCUCAAUAAAAGACAACAAGAUGAGUGCAUGAUUAAGAAAAUUGCAAAAAACAUGUGUUAUAACUAAUGGAAGGCUGCACCCAAGGGUGUGGCCAAGUGGUCAAUGAAGCGGGAUGACAACCAUGAGGUCUCAGGUUCAAAUCCCCGCGGAGACAAAAAAACAAUAGGUGAUUUCUUCCCAUAUAUCCUAGCCUUGGUAGAUAGAAAUGAAAGGCUGAGAUAUUCAGACUUCCCUGACUAAACAGAAUUUCUAGGCCUUUGUAUGUUUAAAUUUCAAAGGCUCGAUGAAAAAAGAAAAUCACACAUCAUGUGAAACUUUGCUUGUAUACCAGGCAGAUCGUUCUCCAGUAUCUUCCAUUCCUCCUGUAUUUUCUUGGCCCAAUUCUUAGAAGGCUGCAAUAGAAUAGAUAUAUCAUAAGAUAAUGAAGCCAAAACUAGUUGAAGUUAUUUGAAAUUUUUUACUUGGGAUAAACUAACCAGGUUCCCUGAAGAAGCCUGUCGAGAAUAGAAAUGGUCUGAAUGAUCCUCAACAGUAUCAAAUUUUUUGAAAACUUGGAAUUUCUUCAGAAUUUCAGCUAAAUUUCUAUGUUGCUCUCCAUUACAAGCCGGUCCUGAAGGAAUUGAAGGACAUCCUGCAGUUGUUGCCCUUUUAUGCAAACUCAGGGGGGAAUAGUUCAUCAUAGCAGCUGAUGCAUGAGCAAUUCCUGCUGAAAUUGGAGUGGUUUGAUUAAGAAAUAAAUUCUUCAUAUCAGACACUGGAGAUCCCACGGGAUUUGGAAAAUAAGGCCCAAUAGGAGUAGAUUGGUUGCCCGAACCAUAAGAGGUUGUAGCACCGGAUGAACCUAAUUUCUUUCCAUAAUGAGAUAAUGACUCUUCAUACAAUUUAUAUGGGUUAUUCCAAUCAAAAGAGGCUGUAGCACCGGAUGAAUGGAUUUUCUUUCUAAUAUUGGAAAACUUUUUUUCUGCCCCAGAUGAGAGGAUCUUUGAAUUACUUGCUCCCUUAGAACUCUUCUCAUUCGAAUUUCCAAUAACUAAUUGUCCCUCCUUGCCUAAAGCAGGUCCUGGGGAUGACCAAGAUGACCCAAACUGUGUAGGCUGGCCAACGAGAGUAGAGCUGCUAAAUGAAGUGGACUGGUCCCUUACUACCCCAGAGACAUCUCUUCCUGAAGUACUUGUAGUGGUUGACACCAUUUGUUCUUUCAUGGGACCAGGCAUCCAUGGGAUUGGAGCCUCAACUCCAGGGGGGAUAUCCAUGCUAUCAAAAUGUGCUUGUAAAACAGCAUAGUCGGAAUACACUAAAUCAUCAUAAUACAUGUCCAUGUUCUCAUCAGCACCGAAUAGUACAUCAGAACCAAACUCGUCUAUAAUAAUUGGACUAUUAGAUACUGAAAGGCAAUUCUUCUUCUUUUUUGAUGACGAAAGGCAUUUCGUAUUUGAAGACUGAACCCCAUCUACUGGUCCACUAUUACCCGAGCUACCAUUUCCAACCAAAAUAUCCUGCAAGAGAUGUGAUUGACAAAAUUAGACCUCCAAAAAAGGACAGCAUAGAAGACGAACAAGAAAAGAACCAGUAUUUUGACAAGAGGGCAUUGGCAAUCUCUGAUUACCUUCCCCUUGCCACUAAAUUUUACAUUUCCACAAGAGCGCUUAACAUCACUAAAAUCUUCUUCGUCAACAUCUAUUAUUUCAUGGAAAAUAACCUACAAAGAAUACAUCAGCACUACUAGUGUCAGGGCCAACAAUAAUGUUACAAGGAAAGAGAAUCAAGUCAAAACAACAAUGCUUGUCUUGUCAAUAAAACCAAACUUCCAACAGAAUCUCCUGCAAAUUUGGACUAAAAGGCAUACAUACACACAAGCAAUAAACAGAAAAGAUAUCAAAAGAGGUUAGCUAAUCUGAAGGACUCUAGUCCUUCCUCCAUUUUCUAUUUUCCUGAAGAGGCACUCUCAUACAUAUCAAAAGAUUUCUACCGUAGGAAAAAUAAACUUCUAUUCAGUUGAAAGGAAGAAAAUAUAUCCAGAUAUAUCUAGCUUUUGCUCACAUAAAGGAGAGCGAAAUCUAGCUGAAUGUAUUAUGUUGCAUAUGUGUUAAGAGGAUUAUGGUAAUGCCAAACUAAUCUGUAGAUAAGUUCAAAUUAACUUUUACAAAGAAAAUAUUUGAAAAAUAGUACAAGAGCAUGUUGAGGACAGGGUAAGUAAAUGCCUGAACAUAUUUUUUGGACCAACUUACACUAACUUCAACUAAUUUACCGGUACCUACUACCUCCUACUAGAAUGAAGUACCAAGGAACCUUUUUUUAAUAACUAUGCUGUCCGGGUCAAUUUGCACACACCUCAACCAAUUCCACAAGAUACAUGUCACCCCUCACCAGCAUCAAGUAUCGGAUAACUCUGUCCACCAAGGCUAGGAUAGAUGAGAAGAAAUCACCUAGUGAUUUUGUCUCAAUUGGGAUUUGAACCUAAGACAUCAUAAUUCUCAACUCACUUUAUUGACCACUAGGCCACACCCUUGGGUGCCAAAGUACCAAGUAACUAUGUAAAAGAUUUAUAUAAAUAGGAAGAAAUCACUUUGUGUUUCUUCAGAUUUUGAAUAAUCGAUUUCCCCUGGUUCAGUUUUUUUUCAUUGACAACUAGUCUACACCCUUGGAUGCAAAUGCCUAAGCACUUUAUUCUCAUUGUUUUGAUAAAAUAAUAAUUUAUUGAUGUGAGGAAAAACUCCCAUAUACAAGUGGUACAUAAAAAAGUAAGGAGCCCAUAAGUCCUUGGAUAUCUCCCAUAUUGGUUACAGAAUUCUUUUGCUCCAACAUCGGUUACUUGUUUUGGUUCCAAUAGUAUUAAGUUCUGAAUAAUCUGAAUUUCAUACGAGGAAUACAUCUGUUACACCUUCAAAUAUCCUACUAUUCCUUUCUACCUGGAAAUCCAAUGGUAUAUACAACGGAUAGUACUCCAUACUCAGACGUGUUCACUAUGGCGUAAACUAGAGUCUUGAACAUUGGUGAAAAUAAGUGAGAAAAUUAAACAUCAAUAGGACCAUACAAAAGUUGGACUGACAUAGAAGUUUCUGCCAGAAAAUCUUUGAUUUCUUGGGAGGGACAGUGGGAGAUAAAAUGACAUGGAGCUGACGUUAACACACUUCAUUUGACUGCUCUAAUAAAAAGAAACAUAAAUUCUCUGCAUAGCCAAAAGUUCUGAAAAUGCAAAUUCACUGUCAUGUGCAAUUACCACCAAAUAAGCCAAGAAAAAAUAGUAAACUGUACAUUGGGGGUAAAAUGUGUAUCAGCAAGAUGAUUCAAAGAGGUCAUUAACAUAUAUUAUAGCUGAAAGUGCGCAAGCUAAAGGUAAUCAAUCAAUUCAGAAACAAAAGAAAAAUGCAAAAAGAUAGAAUCAUGGUACAAAGUACAUAAUUUUAUACCUCCUUUUGCUUAGGAGUUUUUGAUUUCGAACUCCAAUUGGUAGGUCGCGAAAUUUCCACUACCUCAACAUCAAUUGCACUUCCACCUGGAAACAUUCUUUUCCUGUGCAUCAAUAGUACCAUCACAAAUCACAGAGAAAAUGCUUAAAUAAAGACAAAAACAAGAAAAUGAUCAACUGGUCUGUUAUUAACUUGUAACAAUACAUCAUCAAUAUCACAGACACAUAAACACUUAAAAGAUAACAAGAAAAUCAUCAAUUAUGUACUUUGAAUUCAAUAACAUCAAAAUCAUAGACCCCCAAAACAUGUACCACAACAACAACAACAACAUACCCAGUGUAUAUCGAUAUACACAAACCUUACCUCUACCUUGCGGAGGUAGAGAAACAACUCUCGGCUUCCCCAAAUACUUGGACAUUCUUUUUCAAUACCAUCAAAUCAACAAAACUAUCCCAAUUAUACUUAAAAGAGUUCUUUUUCCUUUUCACAACAAAACAAUACAAUCAUCAACCUUAAGAACACCAUAAUAACAUCUCAAAAGUGCAUAAACCCACACACCCUCGUUAUAAUUCUCUUUUUCCCCCCUAAAAACAGAGAAAAUCAUCAACUGGGUCAUCUCUUUUUUCUCUUUUUUAACAACCGUGGUAUCCAGACCAACUUUCAUCCCCCACUAUCAACUCGACUAAUUCUACGAUACCCAACACACCCCAUCAUCAAAAGGGUCAUCUUUUUACACUUCCAUUUGAAAAUCAAUACAAUCAAAAAUCAAAAAAAGAUACUUUCACCAUCAACUCGACUAAUUCUACAGAUACCCAUCACAUCCCAUCAUCAAAAGAGUAAUCUUUUCACACUUUCAUUUGAAAAUCAAUACAAUCAAAAAAAACUUUCUGAACAAAUCAAGACAAGAAAAGAAAAUGAUCAACUGGGGUUUGUGCUAUUUACUUGGAAUUCUCAGAAACGUAUGUUGCUACUUGUUUAUGAGUCUCCAUGGAUCGAUUUUGCAGAGAAUUGAAAGAGGCGAUUUAGGUCUGGCCUGUUAAAUUCCACAGGUUUUCUUCGAUGAAAUUGAAAAAUCUUCCAUAUAUAUAUAUACAGAAAAAUGUAUUGCUAUGUUCCGUCUCUUCAGUGGAUUCUAUAUUUAAAAAAUUACUCUCACAAAGAAACCAAAAAAAAUAUAUUGUGAAACUUUUUGGUUCCAAUAAGUUAAAGACUUUAUGACUCAUUCUUCCCGCCUGGCCAAGUUGAUAAUGGACGGAAUUUUGAGUCCCAGGAUUUAUUAGAAUUUUUUUUUUGAUUUUAUAAAGUAGGAAUAAGGUUAGUGUAUGUAUUAUUUUUUUAGUCUUUAUUUGUAGGAUUACGUUGGUUUGUUAUUUUUUUAUUGUGUUUUAUUUUUCAUGAUAUUAAGUUUUCGUGCAUUUGGACUAAUUUAAUGUAAUAUCUACUUUCUUCAAUCAACAAUAAGUAUCAGGUAGUUUUGUUCACUAAAACUGUGAUAAUAGAAAGGAUUGCCUAAAUUUCAUUUUUUUUUAAUUUUAGAACAAGAUUUUGAGUCGAGGAUUUACUCGAAACAGUUUUUCUAUUUCAUAAAGUAGGAAUAAGGUUAGUGUAUGUUUCUUUUUUUUAUUAUUCAGAUUAUAUUUGUAUGUUAGUUUUGUUGUAUGUGUUUUUGUAUUGUGGUGUACGGACUAGAUUUUCGCGCACUUUGACUCAUCCAGAUUUACCUCCUCCCACCGGUAAUAAACAUCAAAUAACUAUAUCUAUUAAGACUAGAACAGAUUGAAAAAAAAUCACCUAAGAUUUUGUGUGACAAAAUUCAUUUAAAUCAAUUUUUUUUAAUCAAAUACACACUUUAUUUGGUUGUUGAUAAAUAUGUAAACUUUAUUUUGGGGUGAAAGUUGUUUUUUUUUUAAAGUUAGUUCGACUCUUAAUAUUAUAUUACAAUUUAACUAAUAGUUAAAUAAUAUUACUAUCAAUUUUUAAAUAUUAAAUAAAGAAAUUCUGUAAACUAUUUUCUGACUCAUUGACCAAACAUAGGAAUACAUUUUUUGCUAGUUCUUUCUUUUUCCUUUUUGGCAAGAUAUUUUUUUUAAAAAAUGGCUUUCGGCAUAUUAAAUAGUACACUUUUAAUGUAAGGGAAAAAGGACAAAUAUAUUCCCGAAUUAUCGUAAAUGAUAUGCAGAUACUCUCCAUCAUACUUUUGGGACAUUGGUGCCCCUGCCGUCAAAAAACUAGAGCAUAUAUGCCCUUCACUCUAACGGAAGACUAAAAAAGGACACGUGGCACAAUCUUAUUCGUCGAUCUGAUAUUUAAUAAAUGUCGGGUCGAUGGAUAAGAUUAUGACACGUGUAUGUCCGUUAGAAUAAAGGGUACAUAUGCUCUAGUUUUUGGACGUCAGGGGCACCAAUGUCCCAAAAAUAUAGAGGAGGAUAUAUACAUACCAUUUACGAUAGUUCGAGAGUAUAUUUGUUCUUUUUCCCUUAAUGUAAUAUUAUCUCAAUCAGAUUACUUAUUAUAAAUAUUUUCUAAUCUCAGAAAAGUAUUUUCAGACUCAUUAAUGAAAAGUUGAAAAAAGGUCUUCUUUUUGUUUAAUAUCAUUUUUGAAAAAAUAGAUUUGUCAUAUUAAAAUACACUUUUAAUGUAAUAAUAUCUUAAUCAGAUUACAUUUAAUAAAUAUUUAAUAAAAAUCCCAAAAAAGCAUUUUCAGACUUAUUAUUUGAAGAGAAAAUGGCCAAAAGUCCCCCCAAGCUAUUACCAAAUUCCCAACUACACACGUAUUCUUCACGGGGGUUCUAUCACCCCCCUGAACCUUUUAAAAGUGAAAUAUCUACCCCCCUACAAACUCAAGCCCAGAUUUGUAUUAGGUGGUAUUCAACACGUGUUGCCACGUAAUUUUACCCUAUUUUCAUAUUAAAAAAAAUAAUUUUUCUUUUAUAUUUUACUUUUUUUAUUUUUUAUUUUCAUCUUCUCCUUUUCUCUUUCUUUUCCAUUCCUCCAUUUCUUUUUCUUUGAACCUUCUGCAGAUUUGACGAGAGGACGCCAUGACUAUAGAAACUUCGACCUUCACCGCACACCAGGAAAUCUCGUUUUCUAAAGCUAGAGACAAACAAAAAACUCUAUCACUAAAUAUUGCUUCUUCUUCCACUAUUAUAAUAUUUCUCAAAGAUCGAUUCUUCAAAGAAUCACCGGUAAACGAUACUUGCUUGCCGGGAUAAAGGUACCAAACUUGUGGAGGGACUAGUAUUGGUUUAGAUUUAACAAUGUUGAUAUGAGAAAUUCGAUUGAUGUUUACAACAAUUUCAAUAAAUGGGUCUUCUUCANNNNNNNNNNNNNNNNNNNNNNNNNNNNNNNNNNNNNNNNNNNNNNNNNNNNNNNNNNNNNNNNNNNNNNNNNNNNNNNNNNNNNNNNNNNNNNNNNNNNNNNNNNNNNNNNNNNNNAUUUUGAUUUUGAGCUACCAACAAAUUUUCAAAGUGAUGAAAAGUGAAGAUAUGAUGAAAAGUAUGUGAUUUGAUGAUGAGAAUUGACUUAGUGAUGAAAAUAUGAUGAGGGGCGGUGACCUGGUGGUUGAGGUGAGCCACCACUAAAUGUCUAGUAUGGAUCUGAUGAUGAAGAUUGAAGGGAAGAGAUAAAGAAGGUAAAAAAUAAAUAAAAGGAAACAUAUUUUUUAUAAAAAUAGAAUAUUAAUAUGAAAUAAAUUAAAUAUUUAUAAAGUUAAUAUUUUAACUAUCUUUUUAUCUCUCACUCUCCUAAAGAGAAGAGAGUGAACUACACCCUAUUUGCCACAUCAGCAUUUAGGGAGCAAAUAACUUCAUUUAAAAAUAGUUCAGAGGUGUAGUAUGACUCUCGUAAAGUAUAAGUGUGUAGUUGAGAAUCCGAUUAUAGGUUGAGGAGGCUUUUGGCCAUUUUGACUAUAUAUCAUUUUUUUGAAAAAAUAGCUUUCAGUAUAUUAAAUACACUUUAUAUAUAACAAUAUCUCACAAUAGUCGAGACUUGAAUCAUGUAGAAUUUUGAGGUUGAUAAUCUCAAUAAUCAUUCAUUAAUUCAUCGAAAAAGGAUCAAAAUUACCCCUGAACUAUGCAAAGUAGACCACUUAUACCCUUCAUUGCAUUUUGAGAUAAAAAAAUACCCCCGUCGCUAUAUUAAGAAACCACAAAUACCCUCAAAAGUUGACAGUUAUAAUGUGGCACGCCACAUGGCACAAAUUCCACCACCUAAGCUUGUCAACUAGGAUACCCACUAAAUUUUGACCCAAUUUAUAUAGAAUCCAAACCUUCACCCAUUCUUGCUAGAUCCGACCCAUUAAAAUUAAGAGGCAAACAUAUCUGGCUACAUCUGCUCCGGCGAUGUCUACAACGACGACAUCAGAGAAUCUAAAUCAAUUUCUUAUUGUACUAUCCUCUAGAAAUUGAGAUCUGAAAUAAUUUAUGUUUCCUUUACAUUGUAUUCUAAUUAAUUAGGGUUGGUUGGAAUUGCCAAUUAUGUUUGUUGUUCACAGAACUAAUUAAAUAAUGGGUAAAAGGGUCAAAUAUUCCCCUAAACUAUUCAAAAAGAUCUAGAUAUAUCCAUCGUUUAAAGUUUGGCUCACUCAUGCCCUCACCGUCCAACUUUUGGUCUAAAUAUGCCCUUAUGGGCGUUAGUUGGUCUGCUGGACAUAUCCAACUCAUUUUUCAUUUCUUUAAAUGCCACAUGGAAUUGUCAUGUCAUUUUGACUUUACUACAUGACAUUUAUAUGAAAAUGGAAAGGGAUCAAUUAUAUCCCUAAAAAAUUCGAGCCCAUAAACACCUAAUCCGACCCAUAAAUCAACCCCCCCUUUUAAAUAAACUACCCGACCCGUUUUUCAACAAUUUUGUUUAAAUUUUUGUUUUUUUCGAUAAAUCCCAAAAAUUAGUAAUUGAUUAAUGAAAAAUAGAAAAAAUAUGAAAAAAAUAUAUAAAAUUAAUGCUAAAAAUUCACAAAUAAAUAUUGCAACCUUAAAUUCAACAAUUUCAACAAUUUUUAAAUUUUUAUUUUUUCGGUAAAUCCCGAAAAUGAGUAAUUGAUUAAUAAAAAAUAUGAAAAAAAUAUAAAAUUAACGCCAAAAAAUUACAAACAAAUAUAGUAACCUUAAAUUCAAAAAUUUCAACAAUUUUUUUUAAUUUUUAUUUUAUUUUUAAUAAAUUACUCAUUUUCAAAAUUUACCGAAAAAAAUAAAAAUUAAAAAAAAAUUGUUGAAAUUUUUGAAUUUAAGGUUACUAUAUUUGUUUGUAAUUUUUUGGCGUUAAUUUUAUACUUUUUUUCAUAUUUUUUAUUAAUCAAUUACUCAUUUUCGGGAAUUUACCGGAAAAAAUAAAAAUUUAAAAAAAUUAGUUAAAAUUGUUGAAUUUAAGGUUACAAUAUUUAUUUGUGAAUUUUUUUGCGUUAAUUUUAUAUUUUUUUUCAUAUUUUUCCUAUUUUUAAUUAAUCAAUUACUAAUUUUCAGGAUUUAUCGAAAAAAAAUUAAAAUUUAAACAAAAUUAUUGAAAAGGGGUCGGGUAGUUUAUUUAAAAAGGGGGUUGAUUUAUGGGUCGGAUUAGGUAUUUAUGGGCUCGAAUUUUUUAGGGGCAUAAUUGAUCCCUUUCAAUUUUCAUAUAAAUGUCGUGGUAAAGUCAAAAUGACAUGGCAAUUCCAUGUGGCAUUUAAAGAAAUGAAAAAUGAGUUGGAUAUGUCCAGCAGACCAACUAACGCCCAUAAGGGCAUAUUUAGACCAAAAGUUGGACGGUGAGGGCAUGAGUGAGCCAAACUUUAAACGGAGGAUAUACCUAGAUCUUUUUGAAUAGUUUAGGGGCAUAUUUGACCCUUUACCCUUAAAUAAUUAAUGUAAUAAAAUGCUAUGGUAAUGAAAUUUAUGUCUCUUAAAAUCUCUUUACAUCUCUGUUUGAGAUUUAUGAAAAAGUCCAGUAUGAAUAUAACUUAUUCUCUAGGGUGGCGGAGCACUGUCAGCAAUUGAAACUAAAUUCUUUAAGCCAAUUGUGUUUUUCAAAAUAUCCUAAUCGUUGGUCUAUUGAAUUGAAUAACAAAAAUGAUGUGUAAAGAUGAUGUUUGCCUCUUAAUUUUAGUGGGUCGGGUCUAGCAAAAAUGGGUUAGAGUUUGAAUUAUAAAUUGGGUCAAAAUUUAGUGGGUAUCCUAGUUGGCAAGCUUAGGUGGCGGAAUUAGUGCCAUGUGGCGUGCCAAAUCACUGUUGUUAACUCUUGAGGGUAUUUGUGAUCUCUUAAGAUAACGGAAGGGGUAUUUUUGAUCCCAAAAUGUAAUGGAGGGUAUAAGUGGUCUAUUUCGCAUAGUUCAGGGACAAGCUUGACCCUUUUCCGUUAAUUCAUCUCUUUUGAAACUUUUAAUCACUUAGUAAUAAACAAAUAAAUAAAAUAUAGUACUCCCUCUGUCCCAUUUUAUAUGUCACAUUUUUACUUUGCACUUGCAUUAAGAAAUAAUGUAACUUUACCCUUCUACCCUUAUUUAAUGUUUUCUUAAGUCAACUUUAUUAAUAAAUGACAAGAUUAAUUAACUAUUCUAUCAAAGAUAUAAUUGGCAAAAUAUGGUAAUUUAUGCAUAAAUUUUAUAAAAUGACAAGUAUUGUGGUCUAGCUAUUUAUAAAAAGGGAUGACAUAUUAAAUGGGACGGAGGGAGUAUUUCAUUAUGUGAUACAUAUACUAACUCUCUUCAAGUAAUUGAUAUUAAUAAACUCUAUUGAAGUUAAACUAAUUGAAUUAGAUAUUAAUACCAAAUAUUCCUAUGGAUACAUUCCAUUAAAGGAAACUUUAUAUUGAUAUUACAAUUUAAGUAGAUAUAACAUAUUAUUACUUUAUAUUUCAAGUUACCUUGUAUUAAAAUAUUCGUACAUUAUUAUACAAAAUUAAACCAAAGAACAUGGGAGAAGUGAGCUAAUAAGGUGCUAAAAACUUCUAUUUUCUCUAUAUACAAGAAAAAACACUAAUACUAUUUUCGUAAUAAGCAUUUUUUCUACUUGAUGCACAAAUAGUACUUUUAAUGCAAGUCAAGGUAUACUAUCAACUUUCCACACUUAUUAUAACAAAACAUUAUUGAUAUUUGGCACUUACGGAAGUCCUAUCAUACACAUGCACCACCAGAGUCUUCAUAAGAACUCUAGGACGAGGACAAACUUUAACCCUGAUUUACAAUAAGCUGUCAAAUUGGUAGCAAAGGACGGAUGGGUGCUAAGCUAAGUGAGGAAUGUCACCAUUUUACUCCUAAUGAUAGAUAGAAAGGUGGGAGAGGGGUUAAGGGACGACAAAUGUACAAAAACGAAAACUAUGUAACAUACUAAGUUAAAUGUAGGCCCAUUAUAAACAAUCAUUAACACAACCUCUAAUCUCACUUGGCUAGGAGCAAUCACUUGAACAUGAUGGGAUUGAUCGAUCUACAUCAAGAUAUGUAAUUCACAAAGCAAAAACUAGACCAAGAAAUGUAAUUCACAAAAACAAAUACUACGAUACGCGAGUUAAAUGUAGGCCCAUUAUGAACAAUAAGCAACACAACCUCCAAUAUCGCUUGGCUAGGGGCAAUCACUUGAACAAGGCGGGAUUGAUCGAUCUACAUUAAGAAAUGUAAUUCACAAUACAAAUAGUUAAGAAAAAAUAUCUGACAUUUCCUGCCCAAACAAAUCGAUUAUUCAAUUUCCUAGCUUUAUUCCUGAACUUUGGAUAAACAAAAUUCCUCUGUAUAAAUGAUCUGUAAACACUAGCUAAUUGAGAGCUUGUAUGGUCCCAAAAACAAACUGGGCAUUAUACAAAACACUGUAUCUUCGUUUGUCUUUUUAGUUAGAAAUCUGCUUCUAUCACUAAUAUCAGACCUUGAAGCCUUCAGCUCGAAGACAUUUACGAUGAGCUUCAAUCCAUUUCUCACAAGCGGAUUCACCGUGCUCCACAAUGCAUUCAUCCCUCAGCUUCUUAGUUUCAGGGCAAGCGCAGCAAAUCUUCUUCUUUGGCUUUGAAUCGGGCAUUGUAGAUGCGGUUGACUUCUGAUCUUUUGGAAGUUUCGACAAGGAUAUGGUUGUGGAUGUAUUCUCUAUCGGCAGUCCACCCAUCGUCAAAGAUUACUGGAGGAGUUAGAAAUAACAAUCAACAAUGGCUAUCUGAAGGACACUUGAGCACUGAAAUACACACUAAUAUAAGCCAACAGAUAGUCUGUUUGGCCGAACUUCUAAAAUCUGCUUAUUUUGAAAAGAGUUUUUUGUCAAUGUUUUUCGAGAAAGUACUCAUGGAGAGUAGUAGUUUGUGUUUGACUAGUCAAUUUUAUAAACAUUUUUGCCAAUAUUAGAGCAACAAUCUGUGUUUGGCCAAGGUUCCAAAAGUGUUUUGGGGACACGUCGACUCUUAAAAAUAAGAAGUUUUUAAAAAAAAAACAAUAAACACUUUUAGCUUCCCAAAAACAUGACCAAACAAACUAGAAAGGACCAAAAUAAUGUAUAAGAAAUGCAUUUCAAAUUCAACUCAUCAAAACUUCCAGAAGAGGAGAAGAAACCCAAAAGGGUGUCUAUCGAAAACAGUGAUAGGACGUCAAAUUUACAAUUUCAUCAAUCUAAUAAUCUAUUAUGGAGUCCACAAAAUAGUGUUACUGUACCACCUUCACAUGAAGUAAUCAAGAGCUGAUUAAACAUGAGCAAUCGAGCACAUCUAGUGCUGACGGAAUCCUUUUUUAAAUGCUUAACCACAAUUCUUAUGAAAAUAAGUGGAAAAAGAUAUUGCAAGUAUUAGGAUUCCCCUUUUUUCCACAUCACGUCUAUGUCAAACAACAUGCACUUGUUAUUAAAAGAAAUCCUCAAUAAUCAUUAAAAGGAUUCUGAUGGGUUCUACACUAGUAAAACAAUUUCAAAACAUAUAGAGCUUCCAGAAACAGAAUCUCUUUUUCUAUCCCAUCCCCCCCCCCCUGCUUUUUCGGUACCCUUUUCCAGCACAUAUCACUACAAAAAAACUCACAUCUAAGUGUGCAUAAGUUUUUUGGAACCUUUUAUAUAUGAGUUAAUCGGUUUACCCAAAUGAUAAUUAUAUUAUCCUACUAAAAAGACCUUUCUCAUGGGGAGGCUAAAAGAUAAGAGAGACAAGCUUUCUCCUGGAGAAAAAAAUAAUCUCUGAGGACUAUCAGAGUAAAGAUUACUCUACCUGCACCCCUCUUCCCCUGUUCAGGCAAAAACUCUCCCCACAACACCCCCACCACCACCCCAACUACCAAAAAGAGCUUUUCCAUUCACUUUUUUUCAUCUUCUAUUUAACCAAAUGAAUACUAAUCUUCUCACAACAUAAGUUCUUUCGUACUAACAUAUUUCUCCAACAAAGAUGUAAUCUCAAACACAUUCGUAAGAGGCACAAAUGAUGUCAUUGAUGACAUUACAAUGUCGUGCUACAUUCUACCUCAAAGAGCGUUGUCUAUUUGGACGUUUAACAAUUAAGCAAUAGUAUGCCAAGUGUCAACUAAAUUACUAACCAUUAUUCCACAUGACGUGUCAGACACUAUACAUAAUGAAAUAGAAAAGGUGAAGUGAAAAUUAUUCAACAAAAGAAGUGUGUAUUCAGUGAUAAUUUGUGAGAUUCUCUAGCUUUAGGAAUAAUGCCGCUUUACAAUGCAAAUUUCCUAAUAAGGUCUACUUCAAUCAAUCAAUCAACUACUUCUAAAACCCAAACGGGUAUUGUCAGCUAUAUGAAUCUUCUAUAUCACUUCUGCUCUUCCAUUAUUGUCUCCUAAAACAUAUUAGAAGUUCUCCGAAACUAGAUGUUCCUUAAAUUAGAGUCCCCUUCAAUCCAUCACUUUUGUUAGGGAAAACACUUAUGGAGAAGUCAUAAUUGUUUGGAUAACAAACUAUUCACAUAGACAUUUCUAUACUACAAUUAAGAAGGAUAAAAAACAUCUUUACUUAGGAGGAUAAUUCGAAUUUAAAAAUGCUUAAAAUGAUGAACAGCAGGUGUUCAUUGUCCGUAAUUCAGUAAAUAGUGCUUCUGUCUAAUUUCCUUAUCACAAAACAUGGAUCAAAAUUCAGAACGUGAUGGAAAAAGAAUCAACCAUUUGGAAGAAACAAAAGAGAAUACACUUCUUUGUUUUUUUAAUAAUAGUGUUAUCUGGUCUAGUUUGCGUGCACCUCAACUAAUUCCACGAGAUACCUGCUACCUCCCACUAGCAAAAGUAUCGAGUAACUCCAUCCACCAAGGGCUGAACAAAUAGAAUGAAAUCACCUAAUGUUUAUUGCCUCAAGUGGGAUUUAAACUUGAGACCUCAUGAUUUUCGAUCCACUUCCUUAACUAUUAGGCACCCUUGGGUGAAAAAAGAAAAUAUGUUUCUAUAAACUAAGAGUAAAAAAAUAUUCUUUUUUUUUUGAGAAGGUAACAGUCUUGUAUUAUAUUCCAAAAAAUCAGACCUGCCACAACUUGUUACAGGUUUACUAAUUACAAAUAAAAAGAGAGUAUCAGGAAGAUCUUCAAUCCUAAAUAAACAAAAAUUACAAGGUGCCUAAAGCAUUCAUUGAAUGGUGAAAAUGCAAUCAAUAUUUAAAGGUAAGUUUUAUAGAAUGGUGGUUAGAGGGACUAUGUUAUGUGGGAAAGAGUAUUGGUCAGUCAAAAACUAUCAUGUCUAGAAGAUGAGAGUAGAAUUGAUGAGGAUGUUGAUAUGGAUGUGUGAGCAUACAAGGAGAGAUGAGAUUAGGAAUCAAGAUAUUCGGGCCAAGGUUGGAGUGGCCCCAUGGAGGAUAAGAUACGAGAAGUAAGGUUGAGAUGAUUCAAGCUUGUAAAAAAGAGAAGUGUGGAUGUGCUGGUAAGAAAGCACGAGAGGUUGGUCGGUCGAAGGCUUGAGGACGGGUAGAAUUAGGCCUAAGAAGUAUUGGGAUGAGGUGUUAGGUAGGACAUGACGUAGCUUCAGCAUACCGAGGAUAUAACCCUUGAUAGGACGGUGUGGAGGUCGAGGAUAAGGAUAAAAUGCUAGUAGGUAGUCGAGUGUUCUGUUUUCCUAUUCCCUAGUGUAUUAGUAUUAGUCUUGUAUUUUCGUAUUCUUAGAUUUCUAUUUCAAUCCAUUGAUUCCUUAGCCUCAAUUACUGUGUUCUCUUGUUUUUGUUCUAGCUUGUUGCUACUGUCAUCUUUUCAUUUAUUUUGAGCUGAGGUUCUAUCGGAAACAUCUUCUCUACCUUUUCAAGGUAAUUUUUCAAGGUAUGGGUAAGGUCCUCGUACACACUACCCUUCUCAGACCCCACUUGUGGGAUUACAUUGAGUUUGUUGUUGUUGCCCCGGAGACAAAAAUUACCUCCAACAGCCCUAGUGGUUAGCUCAAUUAGCAAAGGUUGAUGGAUUUGUGUCUUAAGCCACAAGUUCAAGCCCUCAGCCAAGUGAACUAAAUCCACUAUUUAAAUAGAGAAUGCUAAGAGGGGCGAACUCAUCAUCUUCUGAGUUUCGAAGGUUACGAUUAGCUCAAAGUACUGGAAAAUUUCGCGGUCAUUAAGCUCUGCGUACACUCUAUCCUCCACAAAUCGCACCUGUGGGUUUAUUGUUGUAUUACGCAAUGGAUCAAUUGAUUUCAAAUUCCAUCUCCGCUACUAGGCAUAUAUUUCUGACUUUGUUUCAUCGAAAAAAUAAGUAAUCAAAACGCUUAGGGUUCUAAAAUCAAAGUGACGGAGCACAUAAAAACGCAAAUUCAAGGGUUGAAUUGAGUUAUCGGAGUAAAAAAUACGAAAAAAAAUGAUUAAUUCAAAAAUUGUCAAUCAUCGAUACUUCAAACUUCGAAUAGAAUAGUAUGUAGAUAUGCGGCUUACCUUUUUUGCUCCGUAGUUCUUCGCCGGCGUUCGGUUGAUUGUAGACGGCGAUGUAUCUGUUGACAAUCUAACUUGGUAGGUUUAUUAAGAAAGGAAAAAAGGCUAAGUUCUCCCACUACUUUUGGUUUACAAAUGUGCCAAACGUCUCCUUUUUUUGCUUUUCCUUUUUAGUUUAUUUUUUUCAUUCGGUGUUUGAUAUUUUUUUUGUGAUCAGAUUAAUUUGAAUUUUGUAUAAAUCAAAAUCUGGACUUGAUAGGUAGACGUGAUUAUUAGCUCGUCUAGUCCUGAGGAUAUGAGGUUGAGAAUAUCUCAAUGGUCGGUCAGACUAAACUUAAAAGGAUAAAAGCAUACUUUGAGUAACGAAUGAAAACGAUAUAAUUUAUGUAAACAUUAUACUCAUUAAGCAAUACAAUACAAUAUAACACACAUUACGAAAUGAUACAUAACAAGCAUCCAAACAAAAAGUAAAGAUAAGUUUAUUUCAAAAACUUAAAUUCAAGAUCAUCUCUAAUAAAAAAUAAAUGAAUAUCUACCGCUUAUAUUACUUUUAAUAUUUUUUGCUUUCCAGUUUGACAUGCUCCCCUCCCUUUUCUAUGAAAUUUUAGAAGAAGAAAUGAAAUUCUAUCUUGGGUACAUGUCACUUCUAUUACAAGGAAUUCAACUUCCAAUCCCAAAUUAACAUGCAAUUAAACAUGAGGUGGGUUGAAGUUAGCAUCAAAGGCUGCAAAUUCACCUUAUUAUAUGAUAAUUGUAAUUUAUUUUUUAAGAGAUAAAGCAUUAAAAAUAUUCUAAAUUUGGUGUGAAUUAUAAUUUUAGUUCCUUAAUUAUUGAUCACCUUCCUAUCUAUUUGAGUAAGAAAUUUUAAAAAAAUACUCCUCUUAUAUAUGCCACAUGUCAUUCACUUAUACAUAUAUAUGAAAUUUUUUAUUGAUACGAUGUACACAUAGAUAUAUAUAGAUAUAUAUAUAUAUAGUUAAGAAAAAGUAUUUAAGCACUCCUCUUUGAUGUUGAAAUUUCUUGGAGUAAUUUUAUGUCGGCAGAAUUAAAGAAAAGAAAAGUAAUUUUAUGAUGUUGAAAUUCUAAUUUUGACAAAAGUUUCACAAGUUGGACAUAAUAAAUUUGAACAUAUCAUUUUUUUUCUUUCACUACCAUACAAUUUUGUCAAAUUAUUAGUUUAAAUACUUUUUCUUUAACUAUAUAUAUCUAUCUAUGUGUACACUGUGUCAAUAGAAAAUUUCACAUAUAUGCAUAAAUGAAUGACAAGUGGCAUAAGAGGAGUAUUUUUUAAAUUACUUAAUAAGUAGAUAGGUAUUUUUUAGAUUGACAAUAAUUGAGAGAUUAAAAUAAUAAUUCACGCCAAGUUUAGAAUAUUUUCAAUGCUUUUCCUAUCAUACAAUUUUGUCAUAUAUAUAUUGCCUCCUUUACCAAUCAAAAGCAUGUUGCUUAAGUUGCACACAUAUUUAUUCAAACAUCACUAUCAUAAAAAUUGCACCCAUGUUGAUUCAAACACCAUUAUCAUAAAAGUACAUCCUAAUAUGUUACUACCUUACAUACCAUUCUUAUCUACCUUGCCUGGUUUGUCUGAUAGUCAAAAGAAAUUCAACAUCUAAUAUAUAUAUAUAUAAAUAAUAUAAUUUUUUAUCAAAUAAAAUUCGGAUCUAUCUGGCUGUGCCCCUGUGGGAUGGGGAGUGGGGUUGGUUAUUCAGUUUUUUCUUCUUUUUUUUGUGGCCAGAAAAAAGUGUAAGCUUACACUAAAAACAGCAUUAUUGUAGGAAGAAUCUAUAAAGUGAGAUAGACAAUGUAACUUCACUUGUUCUUUUCAAAAAAGACUUUGCAUACCAACAGGACUAUUUGCAAAUGACAUACUUCAAAUUUUGGAAGAUCUAAUAAUAGAAAAUAAUACUAGAGAUAGAAGGACUAUUAUCGAUGGCGAAGUUAAAUUUUUUGUUAAAAAAUGUUUAAAAUUUUAAUAUAUUUAUCUCAAAAAAGAAGUUGUCAACCUAUAUAUACAAUAUCAUUUUCUAAUAAAAAGUACAUUCAAGUGACCUUCCAUAGAACAAUGCAGCUACAAACUAUCACCGAUAAACAUUAAGCAUGAAGAUGAAGUCAAAUAUAAUGAAGAAGACUUGUUGACAUUCGAUUGAGAAUCUUAUCAUCUGUUAGGUGGGCCAAUGGAUCAACCAAAUUGAGCUAAAAAGGGGACCAACAAAAGAUACCCCAUGUUGAGUUCAAGUGGAAAAGUUGAGGGGACUUUUUAAAUUGGGACAUUGGUCGUUUGUGUUUUGUGGAUUAAAUUCGAUGACAAUUAUUCACUCUGUGUCCUUUUAGAGUUGAGUGAUCUUCAAAGCAUUCUCAAUUCAUUUUUUCUAGUGCUCCUUAAUUAGAUCCAUACUGAUAUUGCUUAUAUAAGAGUAACAAGAGAACUAAAAAAUAUAAUAAAAUUAUCAAAUAAAAAAGACUAAGUCAAGCUAAUAUUAACCAAACAAAUACCUUCCUUCGCUAUGCAAAGAUAUUUAAGUAGAGAAAGGUAGAAGGACAAGAUCGUUAUUGAUAAAAAAAAAAAAAAAAAAAGGAGACUCUAAAGAUGCCCUAGAGUUGAGUUCUAGGGGUAAAAGUUGAGAAACUUGUGAUUCAUGUCACAUAUUUGAGUCUACUCGAAACGAUCAGAACCUAAUAUUAAAGUGAAGAAAAAUAGUUAUAGCGAACCCAUUAUUCUCGAGUUUCAAAAGCUAUGAUUGAUCUAGGAAGUUGGUCCUAAAAAAAUAAAAGUAGAGGGACCCAACUAAAGAUUCAUGACUAAUGAGGAUUGAGUCAUAGGCUCUGUACUAAUCAAAGCCACUAGCAUUGAAUAUUCAUAAAGAAGGUAAAUUAAGUCUUAUAUUAUUGACAAUGUAUCAUAUAUUAAGACAAAGUGAUCAAUCACACAUUUUCAAAUCAGAAAUAAUGCAACUUUAUAGAAAAGAAAAGGCAACUUAAUGGACAAAGCAUCCUCUAUUAAUAGGAUUUGAUGAAAGAACCGCACCUCAAGAAAGGGUGCGAUGUAGACAUCCUACCUUAAUGCAAUCAUAAAUGACUACUUUUAUAGUUUGAACCCACAACCUAUAGAUUACACGAAGAGAACUUUACUGUUGCUUCAAAGCUCACAUCGAGUCUUGCAGUAUAGAAAGUUAGAAUACCAAACAAAAGCCAACAUCAGGAGAUCACAAACACAUCUCAUUCUAUCAACAGAAACUUACACAAGUAAAUGAAGCACUUUACAAGAAUUGUCCACAAAAAUAGAAAAGGAAGAAAGUACUAUACAAGAUUAAAGCAAAGAAGCACAAUCUGGUUGUGUUCAAAACCUAACUUCUUGCAGAGCAGAUUUCAGUCUGCAAACUUUCAGAUUCUUUAGCCAAAUCCAACUAGUUCGGAAUUGCGAUGUAGUUGAGUGAUACUUGAACAAAGACAGUUUUUUUCAUCUAAACAUCUAAAUAUGGACUCAAAUGUGUGUCCCUUCAAGGCAUGAAAAUGGCAACCACAAGAUCCAUAUAUGAAACAAAGGAAGUAAGGCAACAUAGACUAAUCACACUUUUCUCUGAUUUGUUUUUGUCAUCCUUGAACAAGGGUCAUGCUAAUCUUCUCUGUAUCAUCCCUCGAAGGGACGAACGAAGACUAAUCAUACUUCUCUCUCCAAGAAUACACGAGAAAGAAAACCCAAGAAAGUCCUAAAGCAAUGUCAGCAACAACCAAUCUCAGCCAAUCGUGUCCGAGAUCCUCCUCAAGCUUCCUCUCAAAGUAAAUUCUCCAAACAGCCAUAGCUAUAUGAAGGAGGACACAUCCCUUAGCAAAGAAAUUGUGAAACUCUCUGUCUUUAACAAAUGCCACCAUGAACAAGAAAAAACCAAUGGCAAAUAAAAGCAGACCAGAGAAUGAAUCUGAUGUUUGGAUUAUCAAUUGGUCAUGCGGUGUCGAUCCAAAAAGCUUACUCGCACGCUCUCUUCCAUGGCUAAAUAUAAAUACCUCAUUGCUAUAAAACAUCAUCAAAGCUCCAGAAGUUAAGGCCACCAUAGAAUGAAGCAUACACAAGAGGAAAAAACCAGAUGACCCCAUUUGAUCUUUUUGAAACACCCAAAAUUAUCUCUUUUUUUAACUCACCAAAGCUUCAAUCUUUGUACAACAACAAGAACAACUACGCCUCAGUCACGAACAAGUUGAGGUCGGCUAUAUGAAUCCCACUUCUUGAUUAUACUAAAUAAGAGGAAAAAACCAUAUGACCCUAUUGAUUAUUUGAACCAAUACCCAAAAUUAUCUCCUCCUUUUAGCUCACCAAAGCUUCAAUCUUUAUACAACAACAACAACAACAACUAUGACUCAAUCCCAAACAAGUUGAGGUCGCUAUAUGAAUCCUCACUUCUUCGUUUAAGUUCAUAUCAUACUAAAUAAUAGGAAAAAUCCAGAUGGCUUCCAUUCAUCACUUGAAACACCCAAAUUUAUCUCCUUUUUUAGCUCUCAAACGCUUCAAUUUCUAUGCCUGGAGAAUACAUAAGAGGGCAACAUACAGAUUACACUUUUGAUCACUUGAAUCACCCAAAAUUAUCUCCUUUUUAGUUUAAACUCAAAAGCUUCAAGCUUAAUGAGUGGAGAAUACAUAUAUAAGAGGAAAAAUCCAGAUUGACCCUAUUGAUUAUUUCAAACAAUACCCAAAAUUACCUCCUUUUUUUUAGCUCUCCAAAGGUUCAGUUUUUCAAUACAUAAAGAGGACAAACUACAGAUGAACCUACUGAUCAUUUCAAACAAUACACAAAAUUACCUCCUUUAAGCUCACCAAAGGUUCAACAUUUAUGAGUGGAUAAUACAUAAGAAGGAAAAAACUAGAUGACCCCUUUUGAUUAUUUCAAACACCCCAAAAUUCUCUCUUUUUUCAGCUCAUCAAAGAUUCAAUUUUUAGGCACAAAAACAUCUUCAAGAUUUUCACUUCAGGUACAAAACAAUGAAUCACAUAUAUCAAAUCUUUGGCCACCUAUUAACAAGAAAUCCAGAAAACAAAACAGUGAGACUUUUUUAACCAAAUGUUGAAAGAAUGAGUUUUUCCUCAAUUCUCAAGCACCCCAUCAAACAUAAUAGUAAAAAAACUAACCAAAUGUUCAAAAGAAAGAGUUUAUCAACCCCAUAAAACAAAAUAGUGAAAAAGACUAACCAAAUGUUCAAAAGAAAGAUUUUUUCCUCAAUUCUCAAGAACCCCAUGAACCAAAACAGUGAAAAAGACUAACCAAAUGUUCAAAAGAAAGACUUUUUCCUCAAAACACAAGAAACCCAGAAAAUAAAUUGUCCAAAAAAGGAUAUUUUUCCUCAAUUCUCACGAACCCCAUCUAACAAAACAGUGAAAAAGACUAACCAAAUGUUCAAAAGAAAGACUUUUUCCUCAAAACACAAGAAACCCAGAAAAUAAAUUGUCCAAAAAAGGAUUAAUCAUUAACAUAUAUACCUCAAAAGAGAUCACUCUGGGAUAUGAAUAACAGGAAAUUGGUCCAUUUACAGCUCUCCAGAUGUCAAUUUUUAAGAAUUUAAGGUAAUUCUUUUUUGUGACUGAUCUGGAUGAAAGCUUAGACAGACAGAUGGACUUCAAGAUUUAGAGAGAGAAAAGAAGGCUUUGGAUCCAAAAACCCAAAUUCUCAAACAGCUGGAAAGUGAUGGAAGGCAAGGAAUAUGGAAGAGAUAUUUCUUUCCUUUUCUUCUUCUUUUAGUUGGCUUUUAAUAAAAGGGAUAUGGAAAAUAUUUUAUAGAGAGAGUGUAAAAGAAAAGAACAUAAAAUCUUAUUACAACCAAAUACCAUAUUUGUUUUGAUUGCUACUUCCGUUGUUUCACUUACGUGCCAUAUUUUAGAUUUUAAAGUUCAAAUAAGUCUAUCUUUUAUCUUAAUUUUUUCUUAUAUCCUUUAAAUAUUUUAAAUUGUCAAUUAUUAUGAUUUAUAAUAUUUUUACGUAGUUUAUAAAUAUAUAAAUUUUAUUUCAAAAAAAUUAAAGAUUUCAUGUGCAAACUCCUGAUCAAACUUAAACGGUUUGACUCUCGAAAAAUAAAAUGUGUCACAUAAAUUGAGACAACGAAAAUAUUAUUUUUUAUUGUAUUAUAUAAUUAAAUAAAUUUGUUACUAUAUAAUGGUAAAAGUCUUAUUUUAUAAAAUAACUGAUUUGGUAUGAUAACAUUGAUUUUUUUGUUUUUUCGUUGUAAUAGAGUCGAAGGUCUUUCAAUGAACAACUUUUCUACCUCGGGCUCAGAGAGACAAUGAUAAACACUAUGUACACUUUACCCUCUUCAUUAUUUACUUUAUAAAUUUCAUUAGAUAUGUUAUUGUUAUUGUUUGCUAUGUACCUUAUCUAGGGGUGUGCAAAAAUCGAACUGACCGAUAAAACGAACCGAAAAAAGUGUUAUUGAUUUUAUUGCUAUUGGGUUAUUGGGUUAACGGUUCCUUAAUGGUUUUAUAAAAAAAAUUAUCGGGUUAUCGGUUCGGUAUUGGUUUUCAAUAUUGGGUUAUUGGGUAAACCGAUAACUCAUUAAGAGUUAAGACUAUAGUAAUUUAAUACUUUACAUAUACAUACAUAUUAAUAAAUAUUAAUCUCAAUAUCUUAAUAGUUAUGUCUUUGUCAUUUAACCAUCAAUUCAUACUUCGUUGUGACUUUCAGUUCACAACUUUACAUUAUACAAAUCGUCAAAACCUAUAGUAAGAAUCAUAUUUCUCUUUAUUUCUCUUUGUGUUACACAUGUAUAGUUCUUUCAUGUUUGUUAUUAUUAUUUCUAUUUUAUGAGCUUUUGUAAAGUUACAUUAUUGUCUUGUCUUGUCGUGUCAAAUUUAUUAGAGAAGUCAUAUAUUUGUUUCAUAAGCAUGUUCUUAUUGGUUAAACCGAAAACCGAACCGUUAAGGACCAAAACCGAUAAACCGAAAACAGAUAAAAAAUUAUCUUAUUGGUUCGUUAUUGGUUUAGCGUAUUUAAAAACCAAAAACCGAUAAAUCGAACCGAACCGACCGAUGCACACCCCUAAUCUUAUCUCUCUUGUAGAUUUGCCUUUUCAAAUAAUUAAAGUAUGACAUUAUAUAAAAUGUACCAUGUAUUCAAAGGUUAUAUUUAUUAAAAUAAUAUAAUAUUUUUUAAUAUAAUAUAAUAAAUAUGAUAUAAUAUAUUAUGAAAUGGUACGUGAGUGUAGGGACGGUUACUAAUGCUACGGAUAUAUUUUUUUGUAUUUAUAAAGAUAAAAUCUUUGGUGUAGAUUAAACGUUUUUACUAUUUUUCUGAUUUUGUUCUUUUUUUGCCUUAUCUUUUCCUUUUUUGUUUCUUGUUGUUAAUUAAUGGUGAUUAUGUUAUGUAGUAAUUAAAGGGAUUAAUUACACUUAAUUCUUAAUAAAAAAAUUAAUUUAUUUCUCGUGAGAUUUGACUAAGUUCAUACACCCCCAUUAAUUGAAUUGUUCAUUUUCUAUCACUUUCCUUGUGAAUUUUCACAUAUUUAUAUUUAUAAUUUAAUUAUCAUACACGUUAUGUUAAAAUUAUAUUAUUAUUUCAUAUUUAAUAAUGAUAUAAUUCUAUAAAUAGUUAAUACAAUAUAUUUUUAAUAUGAAAUAACUAAACACACAUAUUUUAACUAAUUAAAGAUUAAAUAUAUUAAUAUGGUAGGGCAAAAAAAUCUUGAAGUCAUGGGCAUACAUGAUCUACUAUAAUAAUCAUGGUUUUGGAUUAGGUUAUUUUCAAUUAUUUUACUUUCUUUAAAGUGAUGAAAUACAAUUAUUUGUAGAUAUCUUAAAAUUAUAGGGCCCCCUCUAUUCUUCACCCAUGAUAGAAGACAAGUUUUUUUGUUUCUUUAUUUUCUACUUUUUACCCUUUUUAAGUGAGGGAAAAGUAAAGGUAAAAAUCAUGCACACCUAUACUCGCAUUCAAUAUUUACAUUAAAGUAUAAUCAUACAUAAAUUAUAAAGUAGAGUGAAUAUAUAUAUAUAUAAUAAUGUAAGGGGUCAUAACGUACUUUCAACAAUAAAUGAGAAGAGACUGAAAUUUACAAAUAAAUCGCAUUCGUUGAAUGCGUUUUAUGCCUUUCUUACUCAGCGAUCAAUUAAUGUUGAGUAUAAAAUGAAAUUUUUUUUUAUCUAUUCUAGAUAUGAUAAAUGUAAUAAAUAAAAGAAAUAAAUAUAUUUUGAAAAUAUUGGACAAAUAAAAUUAAACAGAAGGGGUAAUAACGUAAUUUCGACAAUAAAUGAGAAGAGACUGAAACUCACACAUAAAUCGCAUUCGUUGAAUGCGUUUAUGCCUUUCUUACUCAGCUCAAUUAAUGUUGAGAAUAAAAUGGAAAUAAUAAUUAUUUUCUAGAUAAGAUUAAAGUAACAAAUAAAAGAGAUAAAUAUAUUUUAAAAAUAAUAGAAUAAUAAAAUUAAAUAGAAGGGGUAAUAACGUAAUUUCAACAAUAAAAGAGAAGAGACUGAAACUUACAAAUAAAUCGCAUUCGUUGAAUGCGUUUUAUGCCUUUCUAACUCAGUUCAAUUAAUGUUGAGUAUAAAAUGAAAAAAAUAAUUAUCUAUUCUAGAUAUGAUAAAAGUAAUAAAUAAAAGAAAUAAAUAUAUUUUAACAAUAUUGGAUAAAUAAAAUUAAACUGAAGGGCUAAUAACGUAAUUUCAACAAUAAAUGAGACUGAAACUUACACAUAAAUCGAAUUCACGGAAUGUGUUUUAUGCCUUUCUUACUCAGCUAAAAUAAUGUUGAUUAUAAAAUGGAAAUAAUAAUUAUAUUUUCUAGAUAGGAUUAAAGUAACAAAUAAAAGAAAUGAGUAUUUUAAAAAUAUUAGACAAAUAAAAUUAAACGGAAGGGGUAAAAACGUACUUUCGACAAUAAAUAAGAAAAGACUGAAACUUACACAUAAAUCGCAUUCGUUGAAUGUGUUUUAUGUCUUUCUUACUCAUCUCAAUUAAUGUUGAGUGUAAAAUGAAAAAAAUAAUUAUAUAUGAUAAAAGUAAUAAAUAAAAGAAAUAAAUUUAUUUUAAAAAUAUUGGAUAAAUAAAAUUAAAAAGAAGGGCUGCCCCCAAGGCCUAGCUCAAGUGGCAAAAGGUGGAGGAGUUGUGGCUUAGGUCGCAGGUUCAAGCCCCACACCCUGCAAAGCGAAGCCCGGUAUUUAAGUGGAGAAGGGUAGAGGGGCGGGCCCAUUAUCCACCGAGUUUAGAAGGCUUGUGAUUGGUCCAAAGGGCGUGUCACAGACGGAUUUCUCGGUUAUAAAAAAAAAAAUUAAAAAGAAGGGCUAAUAACGUAAUUUCAACAGUAAUUGAGACUGAAACUUACACAUAAAUCGCAUUCGCGGAAUGCGUUUUAUGUCUUUCUUACUCACCUCAAUUAAUGUUGAUUAUAUAAUGGAAAUAAUAAUUAUAUUUUCUAGAUAGGAUUAAAGUAACAAAUGAAAGAAAUAAAUAUAUUUUAAAAAUAUUAGACAAAUAAAAUUAAACGAAAGGGGUAAUAACAUAAUUUCAACAAUAAAUGAGAGGAGACUGAUAUUCACACAUAAAUCGCAUUCGCUGAAUGCGUUUUAUUCCUUUCUUACUCAGCUCAAUUAAGUUUGAGCAUAAAGAGAAAAAAUAUUUAUCUAUUUUAGAUAUGAUGAAAGUAAUAAAUAUAUUUUAAAAAUAUUGGAUAAAUAAAAUUAAACGGAAGGGGUAAUAACGUAAUUUCGACAACAAAUGAGAAGAGACUGAAACGUACACAUAAAUCGCAUUCGCUAAAUGCGUUUUAUGCCUUUCUUACUUAGCUCAAUUAAUGUUGAGUAUAAAAUGAAAGUAAUAAUUAUUUUUCUAGAUCGGAUUAAAGUAACAAAUAAAAGAAUGAGUAUAUUUUAAAUAUAUUAGACAAAUAAAAUUAAAACGUACUUUUCGACAAUAAAUGAGAAAAGACUGAAACUUACACAUAAAUCGCAUUCGUUGAAUGCGUUUUAUGUGUUUCUUACUCAGCUCAAUUAAUGUUGAAUAUAAAAUGAAAAAAAUAAUUAUCUAUUCUAGAUAUGAUAAAAGUAAUAAAUAUAUUUUAAAAAUAUUAGAUAAAUAAAAUUAAACAAAAGGGCUAAUAACGUAACUUCAACAAUAAAUGAGACUGAAGCUUACACAUAAAUCGCAUUCGAUGAAUGCGUUUUAUGCAUUUCUUACUCAACUCAAUUAAUGUUGAUUAUAAAAUGGAAAUAAUAAUUAUAUUUUCUAGAUAGAAUUAAAGUAAUAAAUGAAAGAAAUAAAUAUAUAUUUAAAAUAUUAGAUAAAUAAAAUUAAAUAGACGGGGUAAUAACAUAAUUUCAACAAUAAAUGAGAAGAGAGUGAAAUUUAUAUAUAAAUCGCAUUCGUUGAAUGCGUUUUAUGUCUUUCUUAGUCAGCUCAAUUAAUAUUGAGUAUAAAAUAGAAAAAAAAUAUGUAUCUAUUUUAGAUAUGAUUAAAGUAAUAAAUAUAUUUUUAAAAUAUUGGAUAAGUAAAAUUAAAUGGAAGGGGUAUUAACGUAAUUUCGAUAACAAAUGAGAAGAGACUGAAACUUACACAUAAAUCACAUUCGCUGAAUGCGUUUUAUGCCUUUCUUACUCAGCUCAAUUAAUGUUGAGUAUAAAAUAGAAAAUAAUAAUUAUAUUUUCUAGAUCGGAUUAAAGUAACAAAUAAAAGAAAUGAGUAUAUUUUAAUAAUAUUAGACAAAUAAAAUUAAACGGAAGGGGUAAUAAUGUACUUUCGACAAUAAAUGAGAAGAGACUGAAACUUACACAUAAAUCGCAUUCGUUGAAUGUGUUUUAUCCCUUUCUUACCCAACUCAAUUAAUGUUGAGUAUAAAUGAAAAAAAUAAUUAUCUAUUCUAGAUAUGAUAAAAAUAAUAAAUAAAAGAAAUAAAUAUAUUUUAAAAAUAUUGGAUAAAUAAAAUUUAACGGAAGGGCUAAUAAUGUAAUUUCAACAAUAAUGAGACUGAAACUUACACAUAAAUCGCAUUCGCUGAAUACAUUUUAUGCCUUUCUUACUCGGCUCAAUUAAUGUUGAUUAUAAAAUGAAAAUAAUAAUUAUAUUUUCUAGAUAGGGUUAAAGUAACAAAUAAAAGAAAUAAAUAUAUUUUAAAAAUAUUAGACAAAUAAAAUUAAGCGGAAGAGGUAAUAAGUAAUUUCAACAAUAAAUAAGAAGAUACUGAAACUUACACAUAAAGCACAUUCGUUGAAUGCGUUUUAUCCUUUUCUUACUCAGCUCAAUUAAUGUUGAUUGUAAAAUUGAAAUUGAGUAAUUAUAUUUUCUAGAUAGGAUUAAAGUAACAAAUAAAAUAAAUAAAUAUAUUUUAAAAAUAUUAGACAAAUAAAAUUAAACGAAAGGAGUAAUAACGUAAUUUCAACAAUAAAUGAGAAGAGACUGAAACUUAAACUUAAAUCGCAUUCUGAAUGCUUUUUACGUCUUUCUUACUUAGAUUAAUUAAUGUUGAGUAUAAAAUGAAAAAAAUAAUUAUCUAUUCUAGAUAUUAUAAAAGUAAUAAAUAAAAGAAGUGUAUAUAUAUAUAUAUAUAUAUAUAUAUAUAAACUAACUGUGAUUUAAUAAUAAAAAUGUAUGUUAAUAUGUUAUAUAUUUAUUGAAUUGGUGUAAAAAAACCUUUGAUGAUGUAAAAGAAAAACAAAUUUAUGACCUAACGUCCUACCAAGGACGGAACAAGAGCGUAUUAGGACACGACUUCAACAACUGUCAAGUGUUUUGGUUCAAAUUCUAUAUUUUAUCUUUUAAAAAUGAUUUAAAAUGGCUAGUUAGCUCUUGGAUUCAAGCACCUAAGGAUGAUUUUUUUUUUNNNNNNNNNNNNNNNNNNNNNNNNNNNNNNNNNNNNNNNNNNNNNNNNNNNNNNNNNNNNNNNNNNNNNNNNNNNAUGAUUUUUUUUUUUGUUAAGAGUUCUAUUUGCUCAAUUGGAGCUUGUAUUACGUGAAUUCAAAUAAUCAGACUCUUAUACGAAUAUCAAACAUCGGAUCAAAAAAAAUAAAAUAAUAAUAGUUGGCAAUGCUUCUGGCGUGGGAAUAAAUUAAUGAAUGUAUUAUAUAUGUUAGCAAUUGUUGGUUAACAAUGGCUCUUGUGUGAAUAGCCAUUUCAUCUAAAAUAGGGAGUAUGUAGUAUAAAAUUUGUAAAUCAAAACGGAUUUAAGUUAUUUACACUGACAGUAUACACAUAAUAUAACUAACAUUUUCCAAAAACCAAAAAUUAGUACAAUGGGCAAUACUUAUUGAUUUGGAUCUCUCAAUGAGCUUUAUACUCUUUUGAUCAUAAAAUCAAGGAAAAGUAUGUAACAUCCGAUAAAAUUGGAACGAUACAGGAAAAAAAAGUCUACUUACAUUGAUUCUGACUAGCUGUAUCAACUAAUCUAUCGAUGAGACGUCGUAGCCUUUGAGCUCCUGGCCCGGGUCUAAGCUUUUUCGGGUUCCCAACUUUUGAACAAGGUGGAUUUCCCGUGCACCAACCACCCAGGGUGAAGCUACCAUUCCCCCUGUGUAGAAACUCUUGAUCAAUCUUGUCCAUAACCAGAUCAUCAUUCUUGAAUUUUCGCGCAAAUGCAGCGCCACUUGCUAUCAUUUGUCCAAUGUCAUUGAGUGAUAGAAUGUGUGGAUGUUGUUUUGGAGGAACAUCCCAAGAGAUAUAGUGUAAGUCAUGGUUAAUAACAGUUGAUGAAAACUCAGGGGCAUUGCAUAUAACAGUUUGAAAAUAGCCUUCUGGAGAGGACACGAAAUUCGAGUAGUACAUAAGUAGAGUCCUUGGAAGAUUAUCCCAACCCCAUAUGCAAUACUCUAUAAACGCGCGUGACAACACCGUCCAAGCUGAGCCUGUAACAAAAUUUGUCACGUGGUCAGUGAGGAUUCAUAUAGCCGACCCCAUACAUUGUUGUUGUUGUUGUUGCUUAUAGUUGUUCAGACAGAAUGUUGCAGAUCUAGGCUGGAGCUACAGAACUUCUUACAGGUUCGGUAGAACCUAAUAACUUUGGCCUAUGUUGCCCGGAUACUCCAAAAGUAGUGCGAUUUUGAAGAAUCUGUUACGAGUGUGGAAACAUUUUUGUAGAGUCGGAGCAACAUAUGCUUUGGCUAGACCAUGCAUUUGUGUUUACGAAAAUCUGCUUAAUAUGUAUAAAUAACUUAUCCAGAGCCAGUAAACCGCCUAUUCUAGAAUCCAGAAUCCAUAAACUCAAAAUCCUAACUCUGUCUCCGACCAUAUCAUAUAGUUCAUAUUCUAACAAAGUCAUUUCCAUAUAUACAUUAGAUUGGUAAAUUUGCUUAGUCAUGAGCUGCAUUUAUGCAAAAUUUAUCAUCAAUUCAUCAAACGACGAUACUAAGUAUGCAUAUCGAUCACAUCCAAAGAUUUCAGACGAGUGCCAAAUGCGUCUUAACAUGGUACUAAUAGUUUAGUUUCUCGACUACAACAACAAAUACGUCUUAGUUUCUCUAGUUGCCAUAAUUUAUAUGGUUACGAAAGGUUACAUAGCAGAUUCUGCUAUGAGGAAAAAAGACUACAACAACAACUCAAAAGGUUAUGGGAUCAAACAUAUAUGUUGACGUUAUGUUGCACUUUCUACUUGCAUUUGUACGGCGUAAAUAUCAGCAAACAUGUUCAAGAAGGCUAAAAGUAUUCAGAUUUAACUGUUGAAAUCUUACCAGUAAAGAGUUUAAAGGCUGUGGGAAGAGUUCUCCUUGGUGCAACCCAAAAUAUAUCAGACUUAGUAUUCUGAUACAGCCCGGGGUCUAUGAUAAGCGGCAUUGCCCUUUCCGACCUGCAAUAGGAUAAAUCGAGUAACAUUAAAGUUAACGAAUGAACUAUAAAUACAGACAAAGAACAAGUCAAGGAACUCGGUGAACAUACUCUUUCCAUCUCAACCGGCUUGUGUGUUCAAUGAAGUUUAAGUCACGUUUUAAUUGAGAAAACGCGUAGAGAAGAUCUGUAAAGCAAUAGAAUAAAUCACAUUUCACCUUCAAGUAAAGAAAACAGAAGAAUAAAUUGUCAGAACAUACUAUUUCUAGCUAUGUUGCUCGGAUUCUUCAAAAAUAUCGACAAUAGUGUGUCAGAUCCCCCAAAAGUAGUACAUUCUUGGAGUUUCCAACACGGGUUUGACAACAUUUUGAAGAGUACGAGCAACAUAAAUUUCUAGUAUGAGAGUUGAGAACUAACCAUCUUGAGUUAGCAGGGGAUAGUCAGAAGCACUCAGGUUAAUAAACCAAUCCCAAUCAGUAUACUUCUUCAAGAGAAUAGAGGCGGCGUGUAGAGUGUUAGAGACCAUGGUUGGACCCCGGUAUGUCACCAUGUUUGCUUUCGUAAUCAUGUGCACAUUUCCAAUCUUGGCAAAAACAGGUUCGUUUGCAAUUCUUGAAGCAAGCUCUAGUCUCUCCUCUGCUGCUGAUUUUAAGUCCAGAUGAACAAUGUAGUAAUUCCACGGAUGAUAUAUCGAUUUCAGCGUUCUCCAAAGCUGAUCUAGUUCACCUUUUGAUCCAGAUAUCAAAUAAGCAAAACGCGGAGCAGGAGGAGGAGGAGGUGGUGGAGAAGGUGGUGGAGGAGGUGAAGGAGGCGGAGGCGAACUUGGAGCUUGCUGAACUUUUACUUCAUCAAUAUACGGGCUAGUUUGAUUCUCCAUAACACAAGAUGGGAAAAUUGAGAAGACUGAAUUGAUCGUAUGCAACGAGGAAAUGAGGCCCAAGUCGAAGGAGGUAACAAGAAGGAAAAUAAACACAAGUGAGCUUAUUAUAAGAGGAAACAUCCAUCUUUUCUCCACGUUGAACGACCUCAUCGCUGGACCUUAUCAUGUAAGCUGACAAAUGAAUCUCUUUUCCCUUCUCUAAAGUCUACAACAAACAAAAGCCGGAGAGGCAGAGUUCGAACCUACCUAAAAAAAGAUUCAACAGAUUUACAAUCUGCUACUUUUGACCACUCGCCCCCUACAGUAUAUCCCUGAAGGAACGAUUGACAAUAGGUGGAUGAUCCGCCUCCGUGAUCUCAACACAGGAAGUGGAAUCCAACGGUUUAUCAACGAUUCGUUCACUCUGCCUUACUAGCUUCCUUCACUACCACUCAACUCUCAUUUACUAGACAAUCGUGAACCAAAAGGACCCUCGAGCCCCUCGAACCAAAAGAAUUGCCUUCUUCAAAAUGAUCCCCUUAUCUUAUACAUUUCUGCAUUUUCUGUUGAGAUCAAAAGCAACCAAAUCAAAGGUCAACAUCAACAAUUGUUUAAACUAAAAUGGUGAAAGAAAAUUUCUCAAUAAACCCUUAAACUGUCCAUGAGCUAAAAGUUGGUAGAAAGACAAAACAAAACUCUUGCAAUUGUAAAUACUAGCGGAGCCAAGAUAUUCACUAACGGAAUUCAAUAUAUAAAAAAGUAAAUGCACAAAGAAGCCAAGGGGAUUCAACAUAUAGUAUGUAUACACACAUAAAGAUAAACAUAUUUAACCUACAUACACAGUGUAAUUUUUCGACGAAUAUGUGUCAAUUGACUCCCCUUCGGCUAAGGUGGAAACACGCUAACGUCAACUAUACUAUAUUGCAAGAAUCUCUCAUCUAAGGGUACGGUGUGGCUAGUGGUCAAUGAAGUAUGGUUUAAGUACCAUAAGCUACAAAGUUACUUGAUAUCUGUGCUGGUGCGAGAUACCCUGAGGUAUAGGGUGUUGAAUUAGUCGACAUGCUUGCAAGCUUUCCUAGACACCACGGUUAUCAAAAAAGACAAAACAAGAAUCUAUUCAACUAUACUAUAUUCCAAUGGUGACAUCCAAAUGUUUUUUUAUAUAAAAAAAAAGUAAAAAUCCAAAUGAAUCUUUUUAGUAGAAUAAGCCCAGAAAUGUAAACAUCAGGACUGCAUUAUCAAACAAAUAAAAAACAUAGGCCAAUAUUAUUGUCCUAAGAUAAUAAAUUAAACAAAUUCAGAUUUGCAAUUUUUCUAAAACCCCAAAAGGGGCAGGAAAAAAAGAAAGAAUCUAAUAUAAUAAUUCCAGAAAAAAAGAGACUAAAUACAUAAAAUCAUAUAUACACAUAAUUUUCAUAUAAUUCGAGUUCGAGUUAUCCCCAUUACUGUUUAUAUCCUGGAUCUACCUCUAUCGUUAUUAAAAAAACACUUAAAAUGUACAAUACAUAGAGAGAAAAAAAAUCAAUUUUACAUAACAUUUGACAGAAAUAAAAUUGAAAAAAAUACCUUUAUAUUGGAAAAUGAAAUGAUGAAUGAAAUUUGAUGUGAAAGAGAAGAAGAUCCCACUUCAGUUUGGUGUUUUUCUUUGAGCUAUUUUCUAUUAACUGAAUCCCGGGAAAACAUACUAACAAUUUAUGUAUAUUUUAUAUAAUUCAUGCAUAAUUAAUUUGAUUGUAAAUUAAGGGUGUGGUCGGUACAGACGAAAAUAAGUGAAUUUCUUACUUAUUUUAUUUUUAUUUUUGGUAUAUAUCAUCAAAACAUUAAUAUAUAAUCUAGAGAAAAAACUAUGGGAGGUGGGGGUGGGGUAAGUGGUGUGGAGUGGUGGGGUGGUAGGGACUAUAGGAGUGAGGCUGUGAGGGUGAAGAUCGAUGAGGUGGGGAGGACACAAUUAAAUCAAAUGUGGAAUGCCACUUGUAGAAUUUAUUUUUCCUACUUAGAAAACUCGGUCGUUCUCUAGUAACAUUUUAAGUUAUUCAUUUUUUCUUUAGUUUUGCUUCAAUGUUUUGACAUUUGCUUAUAAAUAUGUCACCUACAUCACACCCCUUUUGUAUAAUAAGAAAGAUUGUUUCGUACUUACUAGAGUCAUACAUGUUUAUAACAAUCAUUCUCAAUAAUAAUAUUUUACUAUAACGAUUUGACUUUCAUUUUGCAAAUGAACUUUUCUACAAUACCACCUCACUAUACAUGUCAAAAAAAUCCAAUGCCAUUACAUUAACUGACAUAUUGCACUAAAUUGCUAUGUUGUUGUACUUUUCUUAGAUUCUUCAAAAAAUGCACUAUUUUUGGAAAAUCUAACACACAUCUGGCGAUAUCUUUCAAGAAUUCGAGCAACGGCUGAACAACAUUUCCAUCCGUGUAGGAUUCAAGACAACACAAUCCUGUUUGUGGAAUUACAAUGAAUAUGUUGUUAUACAUGGGGUUUGGGGGGGGGGGGGGCAUAGUCCAUGUUUAGAUCUCUGAAAAGGACUUGACUGUCCUAAAUCCAUGAUUAUCUGGAAGAGGUCCAUUCCCUGGCCUGACAGAUAUUAUCACUUCCAAACCUGAAUGAAGAAAAGGGGGUUAAAAAGUUCAAUGAUAUAUAUAUAUAUAUAUAAGCGGUUCAAGAGAACACACUUUUAUUUACUUGAUUAUAUUCUCCACAUGCCCCUCACGUGUGGACCUGAUUCUAUUUUCAUUAGCCAAGGACAUGAAUAUUUUUCUUAAUAAUGGGUGACAAUGAGAUUAAAUCCCAGGACAUUCCCCUACUUUGACACCGAUUUUGUUGAGAAAGAAGUAAGAAGAAACAGCAAAGUGAGUACAUGAAAUUCAUUUGGAUGCCCCUAGAGCUUGGUAUAGCUAGCUAAUUUCAACAAAAGGAGUACGUGAAAAGUGAGAGGUUUAAUCUAUUUACCGAACACUUGACCUGAUAUUGCAUUUUCUGUUGGUGUUAUUUCCAUGUUUAUGCAAUAACCUUCAAAUGUUCAUUAUAGAUCAGCAAAUAGGCUACGGUUAAUUGCUGGAACCUUGGAGUAUGGCAUUUAGUACUCCAAGAUUUCUAAUCUCAGAUUGUGUGGGUACACAGACAGUGAUUGGGCACGUUCGUUGGAUGAUAGACAUAGUGCUCCAACAAAUGUUUUCCUCUAGGUUCAGGACUGAUCAUUUGGAGCUAUAAGAAUCAAGCUACAGUAGCAUUUUCGACAUCAGAGGCUAAGCAUGUGGCAGCAGUUUGUUCACAUCUUAACCGUUAAGUGUUUUUCAACCACUUAAUGGAUCUGAAUAGAUUCGGAUGAUUAAGAUCUACAACAAAAUCUUAAAUGUCAUUAAGAUGUCUAUCAAAACAUUUCUAAAAAAUUGACAGUUUACCACUACUCCAUCCACUCACACAGUAAGUCAUUACCACCACUAGCCGCCAUUAACAAUCAUGACCACCAACCAUGCACCAUUACCAUAACAACCACCCAUCUCUACCGACAAUCACCAAUAUAUAUCAUCAACCGUUGUCAUCAUUCACCACCAUCAUUGGCUAUCAUAACAUUCACUACAAUUGUCAACCGCCACCACCAACUACCACCAUCAACAAUCAUUGUUUAACCGCUUAAUACUAGCCACCAUCAUCACUAACCACAACAACGACCACCACCAUCUGCUAAUUUCAUCCCUAAUCGACAUCUACAACCACCACUAACCCUAUAUAAUUUUUUUUCGAUAUAGUAUUAGAUUGAUUUAGUAUUUUAUAUUUAUUAUAAAAACAAGUUUUAUACAUUCAGAUGUUAAGAAAACAGUCUUAAUUAUUUAUUAUUUGACAGCAUGUACCACCAAAGAUUGUGUUGGGGUGGUAAAUACCUCUUUAUCUUUAACAAGAGGUCUCUGAUUCGAUCCUGAUAAACUUUAUCCCCCAAAGUUAGAGUUCUAGGCGUGAAUUCAUAUUAGUCGGGCUCCAAAAGAGGUACUAGACACCAGGUGGGAAACAAAAGAAUAUAUGACAGUGAGCACAUGUUUAAUCAUCAGAAAAUAUUUUGAUUUAGCGUUGUAUAACAUAUAAUAAUAUUGUUGCAACUAUUUGUUUUAAUGGUAAGAAGGGCAAUAGGUUGAAACUCAGAAACAAAGUAGUUUUCAUAUAAAACAACCAGAAUUUACCUGCUGGCUUUGCAGCUAUAGCUUCUUGAUAGACGUCAGUCACGAACAAAAUCUCGGAUGGGUGAUCUACCCCCAAGGAUGCUGUAAUUUCAUGGUAACUUUUUGUUUCUUUCUUAUUCCUACAAGUAAUAGAAGUAAUUUAACUUACUUAAAAUGACAAGAGAGAUCCGGAUACCACCUCAAAAUUGGAGAUGUGGCUUGAUGAAAGGUAGAAAUUUACCCUACUGUUGUAUCGAAAAAUCCACAGAGAUAUUUUCUCAGGUCCCCAUAGUUUGUGUAACCAAACAAAAGCCUUUGUGCCAAUCUGCUGCCACUUGAGUAUAUGUACACCUUAGGAACAAAACAGCUAGUCAGUUUGGCCAGAAGCUGGAGAUAAGAGGUUAUAGACUUUGUAACACACCUUUUGUCAGGAUAAUGAAGAAGAAAAAUGCGCUUAAUGCAGCAAGCUGAAGCCGUUAAUACAACAACAGUUAUUACUACGUCUUAGUUACAAACAAGCUGGAUCAACUAUAUGAAUCUCGACUUCUUUCUUGAAGCUGGUAUAUGAAUCCCCACUUCUUUAGUUAAACUCAAAUAAAAUCAUCAUCAUAACAAAAAAGUAAAAAACAAAUUUAUACACACAUAUAUAUUAAUAAUAAUGACAAAAAUAGUAUUACAUGUUCUCCAACAAGUCGAAAAAUUAUUCCCAACUAGUAGAUAUCACCUAUACAUAUCUUUUCCUUCCAUUGUACCUUAUCUUUAGCUAAAUCUACAUUGACUCCAAGAAUUUGUAGCUCUUUCGAGACAACUUCCUUCCACAUGAUUUAGGCUGAAACCAUUUAUAUUAGAAGAAAUUCCUUAAUUUUUUUAUAAGGGACAAAAGAGAAACUCCUUUGAUCAUAAUCAAACAUUAAGUCUUCAUUUGCAACUACAACUGUAUGAAACUAGAGCUCAUUAAAAAAGUGAAAUACUCAAGUGCAGAAAUGAUGGGCAAACGAGAGGAACCUUGAUGCCUGAAGCAGCCCAUCUCUCAAGAGCUUCGGGCACAUCAUCAAAAACAACUCCCUCUAACUCGUUAUUUUUAAACCCCGUUUGCCAUAUAUGCCCCUGAGUAACAGAAUAUGAAGACCAGCACAAAUUGUAAGGAACAUGUGUUGAAACUGAGAAACCAUAAAACAUUUGGACGGGAUGAAGGAACAAAUAAUUUUACCACAGAUCUCCUCACCUGUAACUCCUUUAAGGCAGUAAUUUUCCGGUCAGCUUUAAUCAUUGCCUCAACAUUUUUUACCAAAGCUGCAAUUACCUUCUCCUUCCCAGCAUCAUUAGAGGGGAUAGGCACAGCACCGGCAACACCAUUUUCCAAGUCUUCUUGUACCUGAAAGAAGAAUGUAAAGGGGGCAAAAUUCAGUUGCCUUUACAGCAUAGUACCUAAUUAUGAAUUACAGCUUCUUAAGUCCAACGUGUAUAUUAGAGAGUUUCUACUUGUGACAAAUGUCGAAUCGUGUUUUAGUUAAAAAGGGAUAGCACCUAUUUUUACGUAAUAAUGGAUACAAUAUACAAAGACAAGAUCUAGAACACCAGCUGAGUCGUGGAUUUUACUUCUUAAAAUAUAUAGUGGGGUUCCAAUUUUAUUCAGCUUUAGUUUUCAUAUCUUAGUCUUAUGUGUAUUGUCAUGUAAGAGGAAAACUUGAACCUAACUCUAAUGCUAUUCCUAAUCUUGAAAGUAUUGAAGUCAUCGACAGAAGCACCACUCCUUCCUCAAUGCCCUUGUUAUCCAACACGUCGGCAACCCAAAUGGGCUUGAGGAAUACCCUUUCAUCAUUUCUCUUUCUAGUAUAAUUGAAUUCAGAAAUGCAAAGCACACUCAGCAUAGUAUUAUUGUCAAAAAAUGGCUAACAUGUGGUGUUGUGAGUGUAAAACAAACAUUUAUUUCCUUGCAAGUGGGAAAUUCAAGUGGAUAGUACCGAUUUAAUGGAUGUGUAAUAAUAUAUGUAAUGAAUCAUGACCAUUUAGAAGAGGUAGGGAGUGUAAACAAUCCACUCAGCUCAGCUUGGGUUAUUUAGAGAGUAGCUCGAGCUCAAAUUGAGAUCAACCUAUCAUGAAAUCUGCUCUCAGAAUUUUCUCAGAAAGUUAGCUUACUUGAGCUCUUAGUAGUUCAAUAUCCUCCUGGGUUUCUGCCAAAUCAUAUGUUGCAUCCAAAUGUCUCCCCACAUUAUCACGAGCAUAAGGAAAAAGAACAUCCGUAACAAAUGAUAUGGGCGUUGUGGUUCCUUCAAUAUCCAAAACAAUGCAGCGCUGCACCAAACUAUAAAAAUUUACUAUGCAGUCAUAUGACACUUAAUUACAUGCAUAUAAAGCUUAAAUCAAAAUCAUAAAUUUCAAGAAACUAGAGAAUGGUCCAAAAUUUUCAAAUGUUUACCCUUAAUGGCUCAAUGUCACCAUUUGAAGCAAGAGCACCUGCUUUUGCAGACAUCUUGACAUUUUGAAUGCUGCUUAAAGCACCAUUAGAGUUAGGAAUAGGACCAUGAGUUGUUGUUGUCCAGUCCAGUCCGAACUGAUUAAACUUAACUGUGGCAUCAUGAUAGCGAUGAUUCAAUUGUACCUUUAAAAACAGAGGAGCACAAUCAGAAUACUUGGGAGGCUUAUGCGGGUAAGAUGUGGCCAAUGGCGCAGAUAACACAUACAUAUCCUCUUCCACCAUCCUUUCCUUCUGCACCCCUGAUCAAACAACCCAAAAUACACACAGAACUCAAAGAAGAUAACAGAAAGCAAAGUUCAAGAUUUAGUAGGGUAACACAGGAAAAAUAUCAAACUUAGUCCCUAUUUUCACCAAACCAAACUAAUCUGACUUUAGGAAUAUUUUUUGAUAACCUUGAAGUUUGACCCUUAGUGGAAGUUGCUCAAUUCUGGUGGGAGGUAGGAGCUAAGACCACGGGCGGAACUAGCUAACAACCAGUAGCUUUGGUUCGAAUCCUUGCUAAAUAAAUACAGAUAAUAUAUUUCGAACUUAAUAAAUCAAACAAGAAUCAUGAUGAUUUAAAUUUAGGAUCUGCCUCUCAUUCUAAGAGUAGGGGCGCAUGCAGCUAUUUAGUUGUGGGUUGAUCUAAACACAAUACUUUUGAUGCAGAACAUAAAUUUAUGUGUAAAAAUCAACUAAAAUUAGGAUAAAUAAGAGGCAUGAACCCAUAAUUUUUUUUAGAGUUUCCUAACUGAACCAUCAUCAACUACUUAUCAAAAACAUAAUAAAUAAACGUGUCAUUUAGCUUAGAUAUAACUGACAUCUAUGUCCUCCAACUUUAGGUAUCGACAAGUAGAGACUUAAACUUGCAUAAAAUUAAACAAAUAAACACAUGUGUCCUACGUAGCAAUUCACGUAAGAUACAUUCGAAGUGAUUUCUAUUACGCAGGGCACAUAUUAUGUCAUGUAGGACGCAUGUGUCUACUUGUUCAAUAUUAUACAAAUUUAAACGCCCACUUGUUAACACUCAAAGUUAGAGAGCAUAAAUGUCAACUGAAGCUCAAUUAAAAGAUACGUUCAUGUAUUAUACCUUUCAAAAAAGAUAGGAGCAAGACUCCUUACACACCACCCUCAUUAUACCCACACGGGGAUUAGUGAUUACACUAGGUAUGUUAUGUAUUGUAAAAUUUAUCAAAACACAGCUCAACUAUUCGCCGUUCUCUUUUCCUAUGUAAAAUAAUGAGCAUAAUUUAAUACAAUGGAUUCAACCGUAGAGCUUAAAUUUUGGAUCCGUCUCUAAAUAAGAUGUUAAAUGGGUGCUUACCUGAAGGGGAGAUGACGAUAAGUUGUUGAGGUUUAGGAAUUGAGUUAUCCUGAACUUCCAAGUAUGAUUGUGAAUUUGUCGCCAUUUUUAGAGCUCCGUUCAUUGCCAUUAAUGGCGCUGCUGAAGCUAUAGCCAUAUCUGCUCUCUACUUCAAUUGAAUAGCGAUGUGUUGGAUAUUUCUCUGUUUAAAAAAUGCAAUACAUUUGGAUAAGAAGAAGACAAUAAAGUACAGUAAAAUUAGUUUAUAAUAAAUAUACAAUAUUUUAUAGAUAUAAAAAAUAAAAUAUUUUUUAAGUGUAUUGUUUACAGUCCGUGUUAGGUAAAGCAAAAUCGCCGUCUCCCUAACACAAACCCUAACACAAAUGAGUAUGAGUAUGGCAGAUGAAGCGGAAGACGCCAUAUUGGCAUAUCUCAAAGACAACGAUGAGAUUUCAAAUUCUGCUGACUUUGCCCAGGAUUUGGGUUUUAGCCAUGACGACAUCGUCAAUGUCAUUCGCAGACUCCAUGGCUUUCGACUUGUCGAUGCUAAGGUACUUUUUUCCUAGUUAAUUUUCGUCCUGUCUAUUCAAAUUUGAUUUGAUUAGAGAAUUGAAGUAUUAAGCUCCAAAGCAAAAAUGACUCUGAAUUAUAAUUUGGAAGAUUUGAAUUUGUUGAAUUGUGCAGGACAUUAGGAGAGAGAGAUGGGUGCUUACUGAAGAGGGGAAAACUUAUGCUGCUGUAGGUUCUCCAGAAUUUCAGCUUUUCUCAGCAGUACCACCGGAGGGAAUUGCGCGGGAAGACUUGCAGGUUUGCACCGUAUUUGGUUUUUAGUGUUUUUACUAAGUUUUUCUUUUCAUGCGCUAUUGCAGAUUUCUUUUACAUCAAACAGUACAAAAUUAAAGAUUUGUGAGCUCUCUUUUGGCUAAUCGUCUAUCUGGAUGCAGAAAAAAUUGGAUCCUGCAGUUUAUAAAAUUGGUUGUCAGCAAGCUAUAAAGAACAAGUGGGUGGAGAUGGCAAAAACACUUGUGUCAAAGAAGGUACAGUAGGCAGUUGCAUAGGAGUAUAAUUUUGCUCCUUUUAUUUUAUUUUAUCGCAACUGUAGUUUUUCUCAUCCUCCUCUGUAUGUCUAAUUUAUCAUUCUUUGUUAUGACCGCAGUUUUUUAAUUGAUGAAAAACUGUACCUUCUCCCAAUCCGUGCCUAAAACAAAAUUUUAUAACCUUCGGUACCAAAAGAUUAUUCCCUUGUUAAGCUUGCUUCUUUGUUGCUUGAUCGUCUCUCAUUUGGAGUUGCUUAUCUCUGCCUCUCAAUCACCAAACUCGUCCCGCAUAAUUCAUUUUGAUAGGUAGUAGUAGUAUUCCUGUCUUUGUAACUUCAAUUUUGUUUUCAACCUCACUCUACUUAAAGUUUUUAAUUUUAAUCGAGUUUCUUCUCCUAUCCCUUCUACUUGAGCUUGUAAGUGCAAAAGACAACCAUCCUGAAGAUUAGGACCCAAUUGCCUCCAAUACUUUUGAGAGCAAAAUAUGUGGAAAUCUAUGAGUAGCGACCCUUUCUCUGAAAGGUUUUUUUCGUGACCCUUCCGCUAUAAGGUUUUUCUUUAGAGAAAAGAGGCGAGAUAAAUGGACUAGUCUCAUCAUGUGACCUUGCCUAAAUGAUGAAUAGCAGUUUAUCUAGUCCUUGAUCUCCAGUGGUUCUUGCUUGGGGGACUAGGGUAGUCAAAUAAUCAGGAAUCCCCUCAUGCAUCAUGAUGACAAUGAAGGUCUGGAAAAGCCUUUAUUACUUGCUUAGUACCAGUUCUUUAGCGAUAAUAACGUUUCAUUUCUAGCCUAUAUUCAACAUUAUUAAAUAGUAACUGGCCCUCGACUUCCCUUGUGGUGGUUCCAGGAUUUUUCUGUUUCUCCUUCUAUGUUUUGUUGCUGCUUAUUGUUUGCCAUCUACUUCAGUUUAUAGCACAUGGCCUUCUUUUGUUUUACUGUUUUCUUUCCUUAUCCAUAUAUGUUGAAUGAGGUCUCUGAGAACUAUAAUGUAGAGGCAGCAAGGGAAGGUGACAUCAACAUGUGCUUAUAUUAAUACUUCUUACAGGGCUACCUUUUAGUCUAUUUGUUGACUUCAUGUAGGUCCAACAUGCUGAUGACAAAGUUAAAAAUUUGCUGUUGCGGAUACAAAAUGACGAGGUAUAUAGUUUGUAGCCAGUGGUUAUCUUAUUCCCCAACCCUUCACUUUUUGCUUUCCUUUCAUCUUUACUAAUAGCUCUCCUCCUACACAGGAAAUUAGUUAUGGUUUUGUAGCUAGUUGACUAUUAUAUGAAUCAAUUUGACUGUAACAAAGCAAUGCUUUGCAGGCUGUCAAUCAGGAAGAUAUUGAUGCUCUAAAGCGAAGAAAACUAACAAUUCAGCAGUAAUUAUCUAUUCUUUAAUAUCCUUUCUCCAGCACUUGACGUUUACAAGAUGUAAUGUUACAAUUAUCCUAAUACGUGUUCAAAUGUCUGCUCUUUCUAGGGUUUGGAAAGGAAAUUCCGUAAGAAAAGGUCCCGAAUAUGCCCCCAAAAGGAAAAGAGCAGCGACUGAUCUCACUCGGGAAAAUUUACAGAGGUAACUUUCUGACUCAUUUGGAUAGAAAAAACCGUUAGUUCCUCAUAAAAAGAUAGCUAGGUCAUUCAGUUAUGCGCACAGCUCGGGUUAAAUUACUGGAAAAAUUAGUAGUUUGGAAUGUGAUAGUCAGCUUUUGGAUAAUGCCUGAAUAGGGAAUUUGUAUCAAUUGUUAAGGCAGUUUGAGCAUAUUAUUCAGUCCUCGGUUUUGAACUAUAAAUUGAAGAGUUGGUAAAUGCUCUAUAAUUUAAUCAAAUGCCAAAAAUUGACGGAGUUUGACAUUGUUUUUGAGUUUGAGAAGUCCCUACGUGUGGAUCUCCAGGAAAGUGUACCUUUGUAGCUUUUUCUUCAGAUUCGAACCCUAGCACUUACGCUUCAGAGUUUCAACUGUCCCGGAGUUUCACAUGUAGGAUUUUCAAACUCUAAGACAAUGUGCUUGAGUUUUUUUGUGUUUUAGCUUUUAGAGUACUUUACUUCCACAUUUCUACCAGUUUUCAUAUGUGGUCUAUUUAUCAAUUACUAGUCAAAAAAGUGGUCAGCACUUGCUAUUUUUAUGUUUAAAAAAACAAAACAAAUUCAUGGGCUGGGUAAAUGAGAGAAGUUAAUAUGCAGUUUUCACAGAUGGUUUCGGAGUAUUCAAUAUUUAUUUCAUCCAAAUUCAUGUGUUUGAAUAAUUAAUCUAAGUAGGGAUGCACUAAUUCCAUGAUGGACGAAGCAUUUAGUUUAUUUUCUAAUUAACAUAUGUUGCUUGUUCUUUUGAAGGGGUGACUGGAAGGAAUUGGAAUUUAAAGAGUACAACUUCAGUGCUAAAGGUCAGCCAGUUGAAGGCGGCCAUCUUCAUCCAAUCCUCAAGGCAUGUUUUGGUUCCCUUUUUCAUUAGUGAUUGUUGUUGUGGCCUUAAAUGAUUUUUUACUGUUACCUAACUGAGGCCAAAUUGCCUUCCCUCACGUGUUGAUUAAAUCUUACCAUCUUGUUGCAGGUUAGGCGGCAGGUACAAACGAUUUUUCUUAAUAUGGGGUAUGACUAAAUGACCUUUUCUCAUGUCUAUAUUUGGAGGCUGCAUUCCUUCUAAAAGAUUUCUAUAUAUGGAGGCUGUAUAAAUGCAUGUGUGUAGAUGAAUGUGUCUAUAUAUAUAUUUAGUUAUUUAUUUGGAAAUUCUCUGUAGUGGACUGUAAGUGCAAUAUUUCAUUUGAAUUGUGCAGGUUUGAGGAGAUGCCAACAAAUAAUUAUGUCGAAAGCAGGUAAGCUAUUAUUUAUUUUGUUAGUCUUUUCCCCAGUCAUAAAUACAAGUGAGCCCUUCAUAAUUGAUGGAACAUCUUCCCAAAGUAAAAAGUUGUUGGGCUAUAUGAAAUAACUGAACUAGGAAAAUGGCGCAUUUCCUUCCUUGCCUUUUUACUUUUUAUCUGAAUAACUGGAGGGGACAUUUUCUUUGCAUGGCUCUUAGUUAAGAGGUUGAUAUGUAAAUAUUUUGAAUCAAAUCCUACUUUAUCCUCCAUUAGAGAUACAUGUUUUGGCUGUUGUCAUUUUACUUGCUAAAGUUCCUACUUCCUAGUACAUAACAGUUUCAAAGUACCUCUUCUGUAAACCAAUUUUCUAAAUACUAUUGUUUCAUGUCGAACAUUCACGAUCUUUUGAUGGUAAACAAUCAAAUUUAUUGAAGAUGGAUGGUAAAAUAUAGCUAUACAAUAUUCAUGAGCUUACAAGUUCAAACUGAUGGCAAAACCAUAAAUUUCACAACGUAAUCCAUUUAGGAGUCUUCUCUGGUGUAUAGCUAGUGGUGAUUUGUGCACUGUCAUGCUCUCUUAGAAAAAAUUGUUAGGAUUAGUAUUUGUUUUAAUCCUUGUCAAAGAAGUAUAUGUCAAUGUGGCUGGUCAUAAUUUGCAGUUUUUGGAACUUCGAUGCACUUUUCCAGCCCCAACAGCACCCUGCCCGUGAUUCACAUGAUACUUUCUUUUUGAAAGGUUAGUUUGACUUUACAUUUUAUCUGCCUCAUCUGAGUUUCUUCUAAUGAAUUAUUUGUUUGAAUUAUAGUGCCUUCCUCUACAAAGAUGCUGCCAGAAGAUUAUGUUGAGCGGGUAAAAGAAAUUCAUGAAUCUGGUGGUUACCAAUCUAGGGGGUAUGGUAUUCAAUGUCACUCACACUUGUCAAGGUUUUGGCAAAUUUAUACUCAGUUUUUAACAGUUCUUCUUGCUUAGAUAUGGGUAUGAUUGGAAAAGAGAGGAAGCGAACAAGAAUCUUUUGCGGACACACACUACUGCUGUUUCGACAAGAAUGUUGUAUGCAUUAGCUCAGGUCUAAAUGGCUCACCUUAUCCAGAAUCAUAGUUUCAUAUAUUGAUUUUACUUCGUGCAUUUUAAACCUGUGCUAUACAUAAUUGCAGAAGCCAUUCGCCCCCAAGAAAUACUAUUCUAUUGAUCGUGUUUUCAGAAAUGAAGCAGUUGAUCGGACACAUCUUGCUGAAUUUCAUCAGAUAGAAGGUUGCUAUAUAGUUAUACUAAUUUCGUGUCGUUCAUGUUUUCCUGUUCCUUGUUAUAUUAUUUUCUUCUCUUGUUCUUCUAUGGUACCAAACCUUUAGCUCAGAUAGACAGUGGUCCUUGAAGUGCCAGCAAAACUGAUUUAUCGUCCUAAUUCCCAACUACUGGUUGAAUUCCUCAUUGUAGAAUUAUAAUGAGCUGUGCUUUAGAUACUUUAUGAACAUUGGCUUGGUUUCUGUUUUAGGUCGGAAAAGUAGGGAGCACUGAAGAGUAUUUCUGUUGCUUACUAUGACAGCACAUUAUCAAAGAGCCAAUACCCCUCUUGACAUAUGACAAUUAGGGUGCAGUUUAGUUCACAUACUAAUUAUACAAGGAUUGUUACGUGAAUUAUAAUGUAGGAAUUGUUUAUAUGAUGAAUAAUAAUUACAUGGAUUGUUUUGUAGAGAUUGUCUACUUUAAGGGGUCUUUAGAUAUGCUUAUUCCAUUUUUUCAUGCAUAAAUUUCGCAUGAGUGGUGUUACCUAAGCACAGUUUGAUACAGACUAAACACUGUAUUAGUUAUCUACUAGUUCUAUACUGAAAACCAAAUGUUGUGUUAGUUAUACGAAGCUUUAAUUAGCAUUCAGAGUUUUAUGCUGUAAACCAAAUGUUACACACUUUCCUUUAACUAAAAAGACUUCUCUAUGCUAUUUAUUCUGUACUGUAGGUGAUUACAACGCCAAUAUGCGACUUUAGAUUGUAUUUGUUUCAUAGUUCUUAGGUGAGAGGUACUACUUGUGUUAAACUCUGUGUUAGGUAGUAGUGUAAGUAAAUCUUAUUCUUUGUUUGCUUUUUAUUCCUGUUAACAGUUUCAUGAACAUAUUAUCAUGGUUUCUUAUUCCAGGUUUAAUAUGUGAUCGUGGACUUACUCUUGGUGACCUGAUUGGUGUUCUUCAUGACUUCUUUUCUCGUCUAGGUGACCAACUAACACAACACUGCACUUGUAUUCUUGCUUAUGUUCUAUUUUUAGUACAUCAAUGUCUGCUCAAGUCUUGGUUUCAUAGAAAAGAUAAAGCUUGCAUUGAUAUCACGUCCAACUCAAUUUACAGGAGCUCUUAAUUUUGAGAAGGCUAAUUAGUGGUUUACCUUUCUUUUUGUAAUUACAGGAAUGUCCAAGCUUCGGUUCAAACCUGCUUAUAAUCCUUAUACUGAACCCAGCAUGGAAAUUUUCAGGUUGUAGUAGUAUCUUUGAUGUGAAUGCACAAUUGUUCAACUCAGCAUUAAUUUCAUAUCCUUUUGUUUGUCAGCUACCAUGAAGGCUUUAAGAAAUGGGUGGAAGUUGGAAAUUCUGGUAUGUUUAGGCCUGAAAUGCUUCUUCCUAUGGGUCUGCCAGAAGAUGUUCGGGUUAUUGCCUGGGGCCUUUCCCUUGAGAGGUAUACUAUCUGUUAGCAGCAACAUGUUGUUACUUAUAAAUUAAAAUGAACUUGCUGUACCUAUGUUGAUGUGAAUGCACAAUUGUUCACAUGUUUUGUUGAAGCUUAUUUUGCUUGUCUUUGUGCAUCAGGCCCACCAUGAUUCUCUACGGAAUUGACAACAUCAGAGAUCUUUUCGGUCCCAAGGUAUAAUUGGCACUGUGGUAGAAUUUCUCAACGAUGUCAAUGUUUGACCUUGUUCUGUGUUUGUUUUUUCAGGUGGAUCUAGGUCUCAUCAAAAGAAAUCCAAUAUGCCGGCUUGGACUUUAGUAUACAACAUCCUGUGUUGGACAUUGUUUAUGGUUGAGGUAAGAUUUUUGUGCUGGGCAAUCAAGUUGAGAUGUUUUUGUUGAUACAAUUGUGAAGAUUAAAUAUCAGAUGGGUGGGACUGGGAGCUGUGUGUAUUCAAGUUUUUUUAUGUUAUAACUAGAUUUAGUCCCUUCCCUUCAAUAUACUUAUUUUGGGUUAUCUAAGGAUAGGUUGCUCCUCCUUGAAUCAUAUGACUAUAUACUCUAAUGAGUCAAAUAUAUAUUUCCCAAAGACUCUUAUUUGUUUUAAUUUUAAAUGCAUUCAACUUCUCUUAUAAUUCUAUAAACCCAUUUUGGAUAAUUUGAAACUUAUAAUAUGAAGAUAUAACUCUAAUUUUUCAUAUAUUACUAAGAAACAUUGGAAUCCUCAUUACUGUAUCAUUAUAAGAAACAACUUAUAAUAAAGGUUACAUGUUCCCAACGGAGUCGGAAAACACAUCCUCAAUAUCACAAAAUCCAUGGAGAGCAAACUUGAAAAUAUAUGAUACUGAUUUAGUAUCAUAUUAGUUGGGGUAUAUAGUGUAAUUAUUUAAUGGGAUAUGAAUGUAAAGCCGUAUAUGUUUGUAAUUAUUUUAUUUUUAUUUAUGAGGUAUUUGCUUAGUUUGCCCUAUUAUCUUUUGCAACAUGUACAAGUAAGUCAUCCCAUAUCACUCCUACCAGUUGGACCAGCCCAGAACCGGUUGAAACUGGCCAGCAUAAGAAAGCCCAGAAUUGGCCCAAAAAGUUAUUGGGUCAGAAGACGGCCCAAGUUUCACGUGUGGGUUGGGCUAGCCAUUUUCUUGUCUAAAGCAGCAUUAUAGUCGGGUACAUUAAUUAGAGAUUUCGAGUUCGAAUUAUAAGAAUGAAGUCAAUUUCACUAGAAAAUGUGUUUACCUUAAAAUGGACUUUUUCGACAUGAUUAGUCUAAGUAAAAAGUAGUACUGCCUCAAACAUGCAGAGAGUCGGACUCAGGAUUUUGAGCGCAACGGGGGAACACUAAAUUAAGUACCACUGAGGUUCGAACUCAAGCUACACAAUCUAAUAAAUAUGUUUGUGAGGUCUUUUUCAACUAUAGCGAAUUUAUCUUGCUAUAUGUUGUUCUUGUCUUUUUUUUUUUGAUAACUGAGAAAUUCGUCUGUGUAUGUUGUUCUUGUCUUUAUAGACACAAUAUCUGGUGAAAACCCAAAACAAAAAUUUAUCUUUAAUUUGUUUUAUAUUAAUUUUAAUUUGUUAGUAUAAAUUACUUUACCCCAUUAAUUACGUAACACAUAUGAACUCACACGCACAAAAAAAAAACAAUAGAAUAAUAUUUUGCAGACAUAAGAAAUUGAAAGUUUGACCAAAUGUUUGGUGAAUCAUAGAUCUUAUUCUUACAAGUUAGAGAGACUAAUUUUGCUAUAACACAAAAUAAAAAAAGUAACAGUAGCUACAAUAAAAUAAGAACAAUUACUCCUAAUCUCCUAUAUUAUCAUCAGUAUUUGUAUUUUGUACCCAAAAAUAAAAUGAAAAACAUGAGUCAAUUAAUACACCACAAGGAUAAUACAUAUCCAGUGGAACACGUUGUAAAUUCAAAAUUACUUAUAUUAGACUUUUUUUUAAAAAAAAAUUACUUAUUAUAUAUUUAUAAUCUAAGUAACGCUCAAGUGAUACAAUGAAUGAAUAUCAUUCAUAGCCAAAGACUUUUCCUGGUAGGGACUUUUUUUUUAUUGUUAUGUGACACUCAUGACGGAGGGCCGGGUUGAUGAGGACAAAUAAAAAAAAAAAUUCAUCGCACCAAAUAUAAAAUCAUUCAUGAUUAUAUUUUGUCAAAUAACAUCACAUCAAAUAUGAAUAUAAGUAAGUAUAUAUAAUUCACACAAAAGUAUAUAUUACGUAAAAAGGAAUAAUAUUGAUGGCAUGUGUCAAUUGGACUUUUUGUGAUAAACGUGAUGUAACAUGCCUUAUAUAUUAAAUAAUACUAUAUAAUAGUCAUUUUUGUCACAUAGUAAGUUUGUAACAACACGUUUAGAGUUUAACUCGAGCAUCCAAGAUGAAUCAAUACUAAUCCUAUCACGUUACGAUUUUAUGCAUAAUUCUAUAUAUAUAUAUAUAUAUGAAAUCGAGUAUAAAAUAUUGCAUAAUUACUCGCUUUAAAUUGAGUAUUCGUUUUCUUUUUCUUUUUUGCUAGGACUGAAAAUCAGAUAUCUAUUGUUCAUAUGAUUAAGUUCUUUGGAUUUUCGAAAUAGUGUAAGAAAAUUAAUGUACUAGGGGUGGGUUGGAAAAAUAUUGGUCGAUAUAAUACAUCGUACGACUCAACCAAUUUUGGAAAUGCAUCAUUAAUUGAGGAGUUUCAUCAUUAAAUUAUCGACCCAUUGUUUAGCUUAUAUAUAAGAAAACAAAUAAAGAUUUUUUAUUAUAUAUAUAUAUAUAUCUACCCGUUCAUAUUCUUUCCAGACUAUCUAUAUAUUUUUCACUCUUAUAUAAUGACUAAUGACUAGACACAAAAUUUAAAAAAAGGAAAAGAGACAUUUGAAACUUAGUCUUAAAAACUAGCCAUGACGUUUGCUUGGAAUAGUGACGUUAAGAGUUAAGAGUAAAUAAGAAAUCUAACUUUAAAUUGUUUCAAAAUAUUUUAAAAAAUAUAUUUUCCAACAAAUAUAAAGGCAAUAGUAUCACAUAGUAAAAUGAAACAGAGACAAUAAUAAUAGUGUAUAAACAAUAUUCACAUCGUUGGGCUAAUAUAUGCAUAUUUAAAGCAUAUACUUGGAUUUAACUGAAUUAAUUAUUUUCAACUUAAAAAAAUAUGUAGAUAUAUAUAAAUAGAAAUUCAAAAUGUAUACAUAUAUUUAAAAACCACAAUUUUGAACCACUCACAUCCUCAGACAACACAAGCAAAAUCCAUUAAAAUGAUAUAUUCAAAUUAGGCCUCAAUUAUUGUUGUUGUUUAAUUGAAUACGAAACUUGUAUUAUAAUUUUGAGAUUUGAAAAUUUUCUAUUUUCUAUUUUAGAUCAUCUUUUAUUGAGCGUUGAAAAUGAAAUAAGUCCUGAUGGAACAAAACGGAUAUAUUUAUUAUUAUUAGUGACAAUUUAAAUUAUUUGACUAAAGUUGAAUGAUCAAUAAGUUAUGUACACGUUUAAAAGUUGAAGUGUUUGAUGUUCAUACUUGUGGCCCUUCAGUUUUCAAUUGGACAAUAACUUCUAUGAGUUCUGUUUUUUUUUUGUUUUCUUGUUUUCAUUGUUCGUGAUCUGAUUAAAUUUAAAUAUGCAUAUUAUAUAAUAUAUUCUGAAAUGGGAUUUUAAAAAUGAUUGUCUUUCCAUUCUCGCGAAUUUAAAUUUAAAAUCUUUGAUUAAGAAUUAAAAAGUUUCAAAUACAAUUCCGACCAUCACAAUCCAUAUUGAUUACAAAGUUUCAAUAUUGCAAGGGUCCAAUUUAUUGAUUGAUACAUGUCCUAUUCUUAUCUCCAUAGUACCACUAACUUAAUAAUGAAUGGAUAACUCUAGAGCUCAAGUGAUUGAUUAGGAGAUGUUUUUGUUUAAAGUAAAAAAUAGUCGUUCACUCUUAAUUGUAAGUCUCGAAUUUUAAGUAUCACAAAUAAUUAUAAAUCUCGAAUUUAAAUUUAUCGCUUUUAUUAAUCAAAUGAAUAUAUAAUUCUAGAGCUUAAGUAAUAGCGUUCUGAUUGGGAAUUUCUUUUUUUCAUUUUACAUCCGAUAUUUAAUAUUUAUAUUAAAAUUCGACUAAAUUUAGAUUUGUGUAGAAAGUCCUAUAUCGAGGGUAAAAUGAUCUCUAUCCAAAGUGACUUUAUAUUAGGGCUCGAAUAUAUAAUUUGUGUUAAGAAAGAAUAAAUAUGUAUCACUUCAUUACUAUGAGUCUAUCAUUUAUAGUUUGAUUAGGAUUUUUUUUAAUGACAGUGGAACACGAAAAGUUGUGGUUGGGUGAUAGGUAUCUUUCCAUUCGUAAUAAAAAAAAUUAUGUAUUUGAUCUUGAAAAUGAAAUCAUCUUUAUUAGAGAGCACUUUACCUCUAAAAUAAAUACCGAACACUUAGUUGGAAAAAAAAGGCAGGAGAUAACAUCACUCCUUUACCUUACUUAUUUUCUUAUUUUUCCUCCUAUUAAAAGUUCAAGCAAACGUUUAUAUUACAAAUGAAGUUGUCUUUAAUAAAAGAUAAUUCAUCUCUAAAAUGAAACAUUUCAAUAUAAAAAAAAUGAAUUAAUCAAAUCUCAAAAUGAAAACCGAAUAUCGAGUCAGGAAAAUUGGAUUAUACUUGGUCAGAAAGUGCUUGCCAUAUGGCAACAUACAUAUAUAUAGUGUAUACACCAUGACAAAAGUAGGUAAUGAUCUAUUAUUUGGAAAUAAUUUGCUCAUUUUUUAUUUUCUGAAAACUACUUUAGCGUAAAGAAAAUAUUUAUUAGAUUAUUUUUUGGCGUUUAGAUGAGUGUAAUGAAACAUGACUAAGCCAUAGAAUAAUAUAUAUUGUGAUAAUAGUUGGCUCAAUACAUAGUCAGCUUUUUAUAUUUGUUAAAACAUCUACUUUGUAUUUAAAACAUCUCAAUUCUUAAUAAAGUGCUUCAAUUAGAUAUUAUUAAUUUGAAUUUAUGAAAAAAAUUGCACGUAUAUUAAUUCAUCUUUUAGGCAAGUAGAUAAAUUAAUCAUAUAAUAGUGUAAUUUGUUUUAUUUAUAUGCAUCAAUCUUAACUAGAAAAUGUCUAGAAUUUUAUUGUUUUGACAAAUGUAUUUAAUUAAUGAGAUAAUAUAUUUUAGUUAAUUCAGAAUUCGAAUUUAAAAUGUCUAAUUAGAACUAAAUAUCACACAAUUUUCAUCCCUUUUGCACAACUUACUAAAAUUAUGCAUAAUGACAAUGAUUUUGGGUAAUUUAUGAUGCACGUUUGCACAUAAAUUCAUGAUCUUUUUAUCAAAUUACAUAUUUUAUGUACAUAUUUUUUUUAAAAUUAAUCUAAUAUUAUCGGUUGGUAUUCUUGCUACAGAAAGACUAAAUGAUGUAUUAGUUGAAUGUUUUUAUUUAACUAGAUGAUUAAGAUCAAUUAUAUUUUCAUUUUUCUCCUUUUUAGUGGUGCACAAAUGUUAUGGAAGUCCUAAAUUCAUUUUCGCUAAGUUGAUGGAGCAGUUAAUCUCUAAAAUAGUACAAUUUAAAUUCAAAUUAUUUUGAAUGAUUUCUCGAUCAACCUUGUCACAUGAAACUUGCUUAAUGUAAUUUUAUCUCUCUUAUAAUUUGUAAUAACAAUUAAAAUUCGAUUUACUUUGAGUAGCGAUUGUGAAUUCUUUCGUCGACAACAACUACGAAUAAAAGGAGCACUUAUGUGAGCAAUAAAUUAACAUCAAAUUUAGGAAGGCUAGUCAAACAAAACUACUACAAUUAACAUCGUUUAAUUGCUGUUUAAGUUUACGUUAAAACUUUCAAAGCUCUAAAUAAUUAAACCAAGCAUUAAUCACAAUGGGCUAAAGUAAAUGUUCUUUCCAUUAAAUUAAUAAAAUUGCUAUACUUUUAUAAUUGGAAACACUAAAUUUCCGGUCUCAAUAAAAUUUAAUUACUUUUUUCAUAUUUGUUGUUUGUCAUUUUAAAUGUACUUUAAUUUGUUUUACAAAGUCUGAUUUGUUCGGUUGUUUUCCUAGUCUUUUUCUUAGGCUUACUUUAUUAUUUGUUAUCCUAAUCUUCUUAGUAGGCAUACUAUUAUUUCAUUUCAUUAUAUUAAUUAAUUUCGCUACUUGACGACUAAGUCUUUGUUGACUAUGUUUUUUAAUUUUAACUUUUAUUAUAACACACAUAUUUAUUAUAUUAAGUUUCAAAUACAAAUGUUAAAAAUCUUAUAGCUACAUUAAUUCUAUAACAUGUUAAGUCUUCGUAAAAUUUCAUGGCAAUUCAAACUAAAUAACAUUUAUAUCAAUUUAAUAAAUACAAAUUCAAGCAUUAUUAUAAACAAAUUGUCUGUAAAAAGUACAAUAAAAUGCAAUCUGUCAUUUUUAACAAUAUGUCAGUAUAGUCCCAUAAAAUAUUUUGUGAGGAAUAAACCUAGUCCUUCUCCUUACUUAGAAUUGUUAUUUUCGACAAAAUAGUUCCAAAAAAGUAACGAGAAAAAACUAUAAAUUUAAAGUUUAAACAAUAAAUAUAUACAUUAACAAGAACAAACUUUGAUUAUUAUUAUAUACUCUCAUGAAAUCAAUUCCAUGAUAACCAUAAAAAAACAACAAAAGAUAAAAAUAAAAAAUAAAAAAUAAAACACUGCCUUUCUAUCUAAUAAACCUCUCAGUAAUUCAAUGUACCAAGACCUUUUUUUCUUUUUUUUUUUAAAUAAACAAACUAUUUUUUAUUUUUUAUGUUUAAUUUAUUUAUUUUCCACUAAGCAGAAAUAAAAAUUAUUAUAGUAAAUAAAAUUGACACAAAAACAGCUGAAGUUGUAGUAAAUGCUUUUACUGCCGAGUUAUUUGAGCCGGUAGGUGCCGGAAUAUCCGCCGGCGGACUGUUUCCGCCGCCUCCUGGCGGUGAAUCCACCGGCGAUCCCGGCGUACUCGAUGAACUUGGAGACGAUGAUGAUGAACCACCCGAUGGAGAUGGUGAAAUUAUCUCCCCUGAUGGCGAUGAAGAAGGCGAUGUACUCGCCGGCGCCGGAGAAGUCGCCGGUGAUGUUGCCGGGGAAGUUGCCGGAGAAGUCGCCGGAGAUGUUGAUGGGGAUGUUGCCGGAGAAGUCGCCGGAGAUGUUGCGGGUGAUGAAGUAGGUGUUUGACUCACAGGAGAUGUUGCGGGUGAUACCGACGGAGAAGUCGCCGGAGAUUCUCCCGGAGUUGAAGGAGGAGGAGGUCUAAUGGCUAAAAUAACAGUAAUUAAUUUUUGUGAUCCAUUUUCACAAUCAUUUUUAUUUCCACUAAUGAAAAAAAAUGGACCAGAAUGAUCAAAUUUGAAAAUUGAAUUGCCAUCAUCCAUUUUCAUAAUUGGAUUAUUUGUGUUGCAUUUGUCAUAAUCAUCCUUGUUUACCACUAAUACUGAGUUUGAUCCCUUCAUGUACUUGAACACUAAUCACACACAAAAAAACAAAACAUAAAACACAAUCAAUAACAAAUAAGGUUAGGUAUCAUAUAACAAUCACUACUAGAUAUAGAUAUACAUGAAUUUUCGAUCAUCCUACUCUUAUCAUCGAUAUUAGAUAAAUUUCAAAUUUUCAAUGAAAAGUCAAAUUUCUUGUUUUUGUUAAAAAAAUUAAAAUUAGAAAUCCCAAGUUUUCGACAAAAAGACAAAUUUCUGAUAAUCGUUUCUAUUAGAACACCGUUUCUGAAGUCGUUUCGGUGGAAAACUCCAAAGGGACAUUUUCAUCGAAUGAUUUCAGAGAUCCUUGAUUUUUUUUAUCAAUAAUUUCAUUGAAAAUAUAUAUGUUUUCAUUAGUGAGUAUGAUUAUGUUUUUAAAAUGAGAUGAUUGUAUAGUUUAAGACAAAAGAAUAGUACUUACCAAGAGUGUCAUUGAUUUGAAAUCUCAUUCUUUCAGCCCAACUAUUGUAAUUUUCAGAUGGAUUAGGAACCCAACCAGCUUUACCACCAACAUAGAAUUGAUAAGCAUAACAAGAGUUGAUCAAACAAGCCAAGAGAAUCACUAUAAGAUGUUUAUGCAAAGCCAUGAAUAAUUAUAGCAAUUUAAAAAAAAUUAUAUGUUUUUUGUGAUAUAAGUAAAUUUAUAUAAAUACACAAAAAGAGGAGAAGAGUGAUAAGAAAAAGAAGAAAAAAAGGCAAAGUAGGAAAUUUCAAGAAAGAAUACAAAAAAAAAGAAAGAUAAUUAAAUGGAGGAAAUUAAGAGGAAGUUUUAUAGACUGAUGUUGAAGUUUAAGAAUGAAAUAGAGUUGUAUAUUAGUCUACAAUUUGGUUNNNNNNNNNNNNNNNNNNNNNNNNNNNNNNNNNNNNNNNNNNNNNNNNNNNNNNNNNNNNNNNNNNNNNNNNNNNNNNNNNNNNNNNNNNNNNNNNNNNNNNNNNNNNNNNNNNNNNNNNNNNNNNNNNNNNNNNNNNNNNNNNNNNNNNNNNNNNNNNNNNNNNNNNNNNNNNNNNNNNNNNNNNNNNNNNNNNNNNNNNNNNNNNNNNNNNNNNNNNNNNNNNNNNNNNNNNNNNNNNNNNNNNNNNNNNNNNNNNNNNNNNNNNNNNNNNNNNNNNNNNNNNNNNNNNNNNNNNNNNNNNNNNNNNNNNNNNNNNNNNNNNNNNNNNNNNNNNNNNNNNNNNNNNNNNNNNNNNNNNNNNNNNNNNNNNNNNNNNNNNNNNNNNNNNNNNNNNNNNNNNNNNNNNNNNNNNNNNNNNNNNNNNNNNNNNNNNNNNNNNNNNNNNNNNNNNNNNNNNNNNNNNNNNNNNNNNNNNNNNNNNNNNNNNNNNNNNNNNNNNNNNNNNNNNNNNNNNNNNNNNNNNNNNNNNNNNNNNNNNNNNNNNNNNNNNNNNNNNNNNNNNNNNNNNNNNNNNNNNNNNNNNNNNNNNNNNNNNNNNNNNNNNNNNNNNNNNNNNNNNNNNNNNNNNNNNNNNNNNNNNNNNNNNNNNNNNNNNNNNNNNNNNNNNNNNNNNNNNNNNNNNNNNNNNNNNGGGUGGGGGUGGGGGUGGGGUGGGAGUGGGGUGUUGAAGAGGAUGGGAAAUAAUUUUUGAAAAAUGAGUUUAUUGAAAAAAAAAAAACAAAAAAAGUGGGAAAAAUGUGUUUGAUUAUAUGGAGAGAUUGAGUUUAUCAUGUGAUGAUUGUGAUUCUUUCACUUUAUAUUAUAAGUUUCGUGUUUAAGCGUCUGAGAAUGAAAAAAGAUCUUAUUGAGCAUGUUGUUCCUAAAUAUUGGUCCUGCGGUGCACAAACUCAAAUUUAAUCCACUCUUAAUAUAGAUAUCAAACCGCUAAUGAAAAAAAAAACUAUUAAAAGAGGAAAAAACAAGACAAAAGUGUCAAUGGACUAUUAUAUAGUAUUUUACACGUGGAGAAAGGUUAAGGACAUAACGGUAAGUGUAUUUAAUUAAUUAAAUGGACUUAAUGUUUAAGAAAAGAGACAACAAUUUAAAAAGAAAAAAUAUGUUUGGUGACAAAAAUUAAUUGGGAAAAUGUGUUUAAUGAGAGAAAAAAAGGGACAAAAUUGUAGUUGAAAAAAGGUUUAGGACGUAACGGUUAGUGUGUGUAAUUAAUUAAAUGCAACGUAUUGCUUUUUUAGGCCAUCAUUUAAUUUUAUUUUUAUUUUAAAAAGUUAGACAAAUGUGUUCUUAGGAUAUUUUUCUGAAUGAAUAUAAUAUUUUUUUUUUCCAUAUAUUAUUCAAUCUUAUUGACAAAAUAUAGGUCUAGACUUUCAAUUUGUUCAAAUAACUUGCAUAUUGUAGACUAUCAUUUAACGUUUUUUAAUAUAAUUUUUUAUUUUCUUAAAAUGGAUAUUUAGAUCAUUAUCUAAAAGAGUCAUAAGUUUAAACAUAAAUAAAAAGAUUGUCAUUUACUAAAUAACUAGCUCAAAAAAGAGACAAUCGAUAAAUAUUUUUAUGAGAUACUGUAUUUAGAUCUUGCUAUUUAAACUAUAUCCAUUCUACUACGCAUCUACCCAUUUAGUAACAAUCUCAUAUACGGUGUAUGAAGUUAGGCAUAUGUGUAUGUAUAGAAUUCAGCCACAUAAAUCUGCAUUUAAUCACGACUGAAGUUCAGACAAAAAUAUUGAACUUUAGCAUUAUGUGCUCAAACUUUCAACCAUUUGAAACUUCAAAUUAAGCUUUUAUCAGAUAUAGUUGUUAAUACGUCUGAUUUCUCAAGUUAUUCUAUCGUGAAUGUAUUUACAAACUUUUACACACUACAUAUAUGACUUUAAUAGUGAUCCCAAAAUCAGAUAUCCCCGAAUAUACUUUUUAAGUUUCUUUCGGUUGGCCCAAUAGGUAGAGAUUAGUGAUGCAAAAGUACCUAUCAUCCUCAAUGAAUUAUUUUAGUGAUAUUAGAAAUGAUACACUAUCUAUUCUUUAUUUCAUUUAGGAGAAUAUUAUUGAUACGGAUAGAGUCAAAUAAUUUUUUCUUUGUGAGCAAUCAAUAAUAGAAUUGCUCCCCAAGGUGACCAAUAUUCUCCACGCUAUGAUUUUAGACACAAUAACUUUACAAGAAGUGUUACUAAAAAAGUACCUGACAUAGACGAUAUUAUUGCAAAUCAAAAAGAAAAGAACAAGAAGCAGUAUGAUAAAUUGAUUUCGCGUUCCCUUUACUUUAUCAUGGUAUCAAUGAGAAAAAACAUAAUUAUAAUACGGUAAUUCUGAUGGGUGGAGUGAUGACCAAUUUAUAAAGAUUUUAAUCACAGACAAAUUUUAUUAAUUAUCAAUUGUUUUAUUGGGCCACAUAAUAUAAGCCCAUUAGUGGCCCAAUAUGCUUAAGCUAAAAGUUCAUUUUCUCUAUUGCUCUUUGUUGAGUCUUCCAUUUUUUCCCAUUUGGUCAAUAAUGUUAGUAGCAAUAAGCCCAAAGCUUGGCAGGCUAGCCCACAUAUUGAGCCCAUCCAUAAACCCUGCAAUCAUAUAUUAAAAUUUUAAAUACAAAAAUAAUGUUUCGAUCAAUCAACUACAACUCAAUCUUAAUUCGUUGAGAUUACAUGAUAUUGAAAUUCAUAAGUAAUAAAUUAAAGCACCUAAGUGUUUGUGUAGACAAAUCAUAUAAUAUGAGAAGAGACUAACAAAGUUUACAUUCGAUGGUUUCAAUUGAACUCAGUAUUUACUCUCAAUAUGUGUUAUCAAAAAUAUCUCAACCAGAGUUUGUGGCGUAAUGCCUGAUUAUAUUAAGAGGUCUCUUAAACCAAUUUUAUAAAAAUUAUAUAAUAAUGAAACACGAAAGAACUUUGCCUUCUAAGUUAUGUAUGAUUCAGAAACGUGACAAACACAAAUGGCAAAUUUUUUGAGAAAAUUAAGUGAAAUCAAAUUGUAAAAUCGUUAGAAAUAUGAAAAAGAAAUGAAUGUAUAUAGAGGAGGAGAAAAUGGAAUUGAAAAAAUAAUAAUAAAAUUCUGAAUUCAUCCGUGGACGAAAAAUAAAACAUACCAACAUGGCAUGCAUUUGGAAUACCUGAGCAUGUAGGUUGAACUUAAAAGCAAGGAGCCAAGAUAUUGGCAUGCCAAUAAAAUAGAAUGUUGCCAAGUUGAUGAACAUAACCAAAUGUUGCCAUCCACAUCCCCUAGCCACCCCUGAUAAUCAAUUUCAAUUACAUUUUCUCUUUAGAUACAUAAACAAAUACUUAAAUUUAGUCUCAGUUGACAUGUAAAUACUCUAAUUUUGAGUAGGCACAUAGUCUAGAUAUCUCAACUUGUCUUCACUGUGUCAGUUGAACACUCCAACUUACAAAAUGAUCAUCUAGACACCUCCAAAAGUUAUAUGUGUACAUAAGUAUAGGGUGUCCACGAGACAUAAGAGGGCCGAGUUGGAGUGUUUAGUUGUCAGUUGAGACCAAUGAGGUAUCCAGAUGUGCACUCUCAAAAUUGGAGUGGUUACUUGCUAACCAAGGUCAAGUUUAAAUGUGUGUUCAGAAUGCACAAGUAUAAUAUUUUCUUUAACUGAAUAUAAAAUUUAAGAACCUGACCUAAUAAAAUUCCUUGAAAGAAAUCCAAUACAAAUGAGAUUAAGAGAAGUGGCAUCAUGGUGGCAAAUUCUUUUAUUAUUUCUGUACUAUCACUAAAGAGGCCAGCCCAUGCACUAUGACCAAAAAAUAGAGCCAAAUCAACAAUAAGAGCAAGAAGAACACAUAGCUUGAGAGUAACAACCAUAGCAUGCUUUGCUUUGUCAAUAUUUCCACCUCCUAACUCAUUUGCCACCCUAGUGCUGCACAUAUUGUACAAUAAUUAUACAUAGCAUAUUAGUUAAAAUUUGUAAAAUAACAAUAAUAAAGAUCAAGAUUAUCUAUUAUAUAUACUCCAUAAAAUAUAUAUUAUAGAUAAUAAAGUAAAAAUUUAAUCACCCAUAAAAGAAAUUGAGUCUCGAGAAAUAAUGAGAUCUGGUCGAUAUAUAAAACCUAUCUUUUUUUGGUCUAAUAUAGACACGUGUAUACACAUGAUAUACUUUAUACACAUGCCUGGCUAUACUAGACCAUGUGUAUGCACAUGAUCCUUAAGCACUCACUUAUGACCACUGCACUAAUUCACUACUUAUUACAUGAGUGCUCACUCUUUAAUUUUAUCCCAUUACUUCAAAUUUCUAUAUAAAUAUAGUUAGUUCGAUACGAGAUUAAUGGGUGCUUGAGCACCCAGAAAGGUCAACGUAGCUUCGUCCCUGUUAGGAGGAGGCGGGGCGGGAGGCGGUUAAAAUAAUAAAACUCUCACAUAAUUUGAGUUGUUGAAGCUCACACACCACAAAUAUGUGUAGUACAUUACCUUGCAGCUGCACUCAGACCAUAAGACACCAUGAAAGCAACAGCUUCGGUAUUUACACUGAAAAGUCACAAUCCAAAAGUUAGUGUUAGAAUUUUUGAUUCAGUUACUUCCUCGGUCUCAAUUUACGUGAUACUUUUCAAAUUUCGAGAUUUAAAUAAGUCUAUCUUUGAUCGUAAAUUUUGCAUAUAUCUUUUAAAUAUUUUGAAUUGUCAAUUGUUGUGACUUAUAGUACUUUUUACUAGUUUAUAAAUAUAUAAUUUCAUUUCCAAAAAUUUGAAGAUUCCAUGUGUAAUUUGCCGGUCAAAUUAAACUUAAACUGUUUGACUCUCGAAAAAUGAAAAGUGUUACAUAAAUUGGGACAAAGGGAGUAAAAAAGUGAAAAUGAAGUGGUUUAUAUAGCAGCAACAACAACAACAAUAAUAACAACAAUAUAUGUCGUGUGAUGUUAUAAGUGAGGUCUAAAAAAGGUAAUGUGUACGUAGCCAAAGGGCAAAUUUAAAGAAGGGUGGAAUGUUCACUCGAACCCCUUUUAAAUUGUAUAUAUGAGGUAAAACUUUUAUUUUUUAUUGAUGUAUAAAGAUUUUGAAUCUAUUGAACGUAAGACUAGAGGUUGGUUUUGUGAUUCAAGGGUUUAAAAUUCACCUUGAAUUUUCAAAAUCAAUUAUCUUAGGUACUACAUUUUUAUUGCAGGACCAAAAGUUUACUUUGUUAUUGAGUUCCCAACACAUAUAUAAAUACUAGGUCUGUGUAAGUAUUAUUGGGUUCGCCUUGGAACCCGUAUCCAAACCCCUAAAUUUGCCCCUUCUCUUAUCAAAAUAGAGAGGCGAUUUCGAAAGAUGUUCAGCUUAAGUAAAUCAAUUCAAAACAAAUUUGAAAAGAAAAUAUGUAUCAAGAAACACAAGAGCAUAAUUACCUCAUUGCAAUUAGGGAAGUAGUUGUUUCUGAGUUUGGCAUCAAACCAGCAGAUAACACAAAAAACUCAUGAUCCCAGUAUUCCAAACUGCAUGUAUACAUCAAAUCAAAAGAACAUAGGAUCAAGUCAAACCCUUGACCUGUCUAAAUUAUUAUAUAAUUCAUAUCUCGUUCGUUUGGUAAAAAAGAGAAAGAGAAAAAUCAAAUAGUCAACUAAUUUGAUAGUAGACAUUUAGAUCACUUACAAUACACGAACUCUAAUAAAAGGAAAGGAUUGUGUUAGAAGUGUUUCCAACAUAAUAAAGUACAUUAUAUUUUAUAAUACAAGCUUAUAAUAUAAGGAUUGACCACUUACAUUAUAUCCUCGAAGACGUACCAUAUAAGUAGACCACAACCCAUAUUAUAUAACAAAAUUAGCUUACCAUAUCAUGGCAGCAGAGGGCAAAGACAACUUCAAGUUUGUAAAGAUAUGAUGAAACGACACGAAAGAGAGACCUUCCCUCCAGAUUUGACUGAACUUCUUCUUCGAACAAAGAAUGUAUACCACCAACAUGAGGACUGAAAUCCAAAUCGAAAUCGAAGCUGCUAAUGGUGCUCCUUUGAAACCAAGACUUGUCCAAUAAACAAGGCAAUAUGUAAUGCCAAUGUGUAAAACUAAAGAUGCCAUUGAACACACAACAAGAGGCAUGACAAUUGAUUGUGAUUGAAGAAAUACUAAAAUGUUUUGCAAGAAACCAUAUGCAAAUAAUCCAGGUAUGAGGAAUUUCAAGAACACACUAGCUUCUUUUGCUAUGUCAGGAUCUUGAUGAAGUAAAAUGAGAAUUUUAUCAGAAUACCACCAACUAAUAGCAAUUAUUGUAGAAAAUAUGAAUGAUAUGAUGCAUGAUAUUUGAAGAUGUAUCCCCAACAUCUUGUACAUUUUAGCUCCAUAUCCUUGGCCACAUAAUGUCUCAAGUCCACCACUAAUGCCAACCUAUGUUACCAAGAUAAAGAAAGUAACAAAUAAUAGUUAAAUUAAAGAACAACAUAUUAUACAAAUGAGAAAAGGAGGCUAGCUCCUUUCCUCUUCUUUGAAAAAGUACUAUAACACACAACUAUAUAUGCUAGUCUUUUACUUUUAUUUUUUAUAUUCAAACCUUUCUAUCUAAAGUAAUGUUCUCAAUAAGUUGGAAAUAUGUCAUGUCUUGUCUUGUCUUGUCUGAUCAUCGAUCUCCCCUCUUUAUUCUUCUUCAUCCUAUCUCUACCUCUCAUAAAACCUGAUAUAGCCAAGGUAUAAGUACUCUCACGCCUCUGCACUAAGGAUAAUUAUAAUUGAGGUAGCUUUCAGAGAAUUAUAAGGUGAGAGUGGUUUAAUUUCAGUGGAGGAUAAAAUGCAGAAAGUGAGACUAAUUAAAAUGGUUCGAACAUGUGAAACGAUAUAUAUCUAUUAUUUCUUCUAGGCAAAAGUAUUCAUUACCCCCCUGAACUUGAAGUUUUUUAUUCGGUGUACACCUAAACUAUAUUCCGUUUUAAUUACCCCCCCCCCCCAAACUUGUUUAUUCCUCCAUCACGUACACCUUUUUUGUCCACCUGCUCCUAUUGUGACUACACACGCGUGACAGCUGGCAAAAGCGGUGAUGUGGAUUUCCACCUGGAUAAAUAAUAGCCACCUAGAUCAAUUAAUAUGGCAAAAUAUAAAUAUCAAACCUUCUCACAUUCUCACCUAAAACUUUUGGACUAAGCUUCUCACUAAAACUUUCGAACUUAAACCCGAAAAUCUUCAAGAAAUUAAUAUUUAGUACUGGAGAACUCACAUUAAAUGUCAACACAAGACUUUUAUUGUUGGAAAUAAAACAAAUUAAUUUUGGAUUUAAAAAAAUCCGUAGGGAUUGGGGUUGUUUCUGCAAAAGUAUCUUGAAGAAGAUGGGUUGUAGGGGAGGAUGCGGGGUUGUAGGGGAGGGGAUAGGGUGCUGCAAAAUAGAUUUUAAAAUAGUUAAAAUAAUUAGGUAAAAUGCAACAUGUCAUUUAUUCAUUGGAUAGUUUUUCUUAAAUUUAAAAUUCAUUGUUUAAAAGUUAUUUUUGAAUAAGGGCUGAUUUCGCGGAACUCCUUCUGGAUUUGGAUUUUUCUAGAUGUGAAGUUGGUCGAUUAAUUCAAAUUUGUCUGAAAUUCUUACCAAGUAAGUGUUAAUCUUUGUUUCCCUUACUUUUCAUUUACAUUUUCCCUUAUUUUUCGUUUAAAAUAUGUCAAAUAUUAAAGAAAAAUGGAGAUUUUACAAUUUUUUUACCGUUGUAGCUUUAUGAUGUGGCAAAAAAUCACUUCCUCACGCGCCUAGUAGAGUGUGUUGUCAAUUUCUACGCCAGGAGGACAAUAAAUUAAGGUGUACGCGAUGGAGGAAUAAACAAGUUCGGGGGGAUAAUUAAAACGAAAUAUAGUUUAGGUGUACACCGAAUAAAAAACUUCAAGUUCAGGGGGGUAAUGAAUAUUUUUGCCUUUCUUAUACUUCGAUUAUAGUAUUAUUUAUUUUCUUGUGUUUAUGUUCAACAUGUUUUGCUACACUUUCACACCAUUAUAAUCUAUCAUUUGGCCAUAAAUUUUAGAAAUUUAUCUUCAAAUAUUUGUUAUCCAUGAAAUGAUCAAAAUUUGAAAUUUUGGGGUUGUACUGUUUGGUUGGUAAAAAAAUUUGAUAAAUAUUUUUUCUAGGAAAAUAAAUUGCUUAAAAAUGAGAAAAAUGACUUCUACAAUAAAAGAAGGAAAAACAAAUUCUACAAGUGACAUUCCACAUUGUUUGUUUCCUUCCCACACGGCCAUACCUCCAAGUCUCCAACACACCUCAUCUUCACUCCCACUUUUUUUUUGCCCUACCGUUCUGUCUCUCACAAAGGAGAAAUGAGAUCUUCUAAGAACAACCUUGGUUUGGUGAAUUGAAGUUGUAUUAGCCCCCCUCCUCCACCAACCACACCUCGAUCAUUAGUUUUUGAAACUUGUAAAUAAAAUACAUAUCCGAACACAAUUUCAAAUUAUAAAAAAAAAUUGCAACUUUAUAAAAACUAAUUUUUUCGAUUUUUAUAAGGAGGAAAGAUUAGAUGCAUACCAUCAAAGAGAGACCAGUGACCUCAGCCCAUGAAUUACCAAGAUUUGAGGCAGCAAGUUCAAAUUUGCCAAGAUGACCAGCAAACAUGACAGACACAAGAUUGAUGAAGUAGAAACAACUAGUCACAACAAUCAUUGGCAAAGAGAACAAUAUUUGAUUCUUGGCUUCUUCAACAUCAAUUACCUUGCUAAUAAUAGUAAUCCACCAUUUGUUUGUCUCCAAUGAUGUUGAAGGCAACAUGGGACUUUUUAGACUAUUUGAUGAUGAACUAUCCAUAGCCAUAUUCUUGGGUUUCUUCUUAGUUGAUCACCAUUAUUACCAAUGAACUCCUCUUUAUAUAAAUUCAACAUGUAAUAAAUGUUUUAUGGUAUCAGUAUAUAUAAUUUAAGAUAUUUAGAGUAACAUAUUACUUAUUAUUCAUUUUAGGUUAUCAUACGGUUGUUUGGUUGGGAAUAAAUUAUCUCGAGAUAAGUUAUUCUAUCAUUAUUGUAAUAAAAAUAACUUUUAGCGGCAAUAAAUAUACACGUUAACAAAGAAUGCUAAAGCCUUACCGGCAUUAGUUAAUUUUUAUUGGAUCCAAUGUCGCUAUAGGCUUUACUGACACUUACAAAGAGUGCUAAUUGCAGCUAAAGAUACAUGUUUAGCGGCACAUUAAGUUAUUGCCACUAACUAAAUGCCGCUAAAGAUCAUUUUUGGUGUAGUGCAUGUAUAUGAGAUAACUUAUCCCAUCACUAAGGUAUAAAUGGUGUGACAAAUAAUCCCAAGACUACCUAAUACCUCCGACCAAACGCUAGAUAAGAUAGUCCUGAAUUUUAUCCCUUAGAUUAUUAUACCAUAUACCUCAUACCAAACGACCCCUAGAGUUUAAUUUAUGGCAUAUAUAGUUCAUAAACAUGUCAUUUAACUUGGCGUAGCUAACAUCUAUGUCAUUCUAUUUUGGGUGUUCACAAGUAGACACUUAAACUUGUAUAAAAUUCAACAAGUAGAACAUGUGUCCUACAUGGCAUAAUACACAUAGGACAUCAUGUAGGAUGCAAAUUUCGAUGUAGAACGUCACAUAUGAUACAUGUGUCUACUUGUUCAAUGUAACUUUAUACAAUUUAAAGUGCCUACUGAUGCCUUAUGCAUACCCAAAGUUAAAGGAUAUAAAUGCAUAUUGAUAUCAAGUUAAAGAGUAUAUUUAUGUAUUAUGCCUUAAUUUAUAUAUGUCAAUAUAGUAUUUAAUCAUGUAAAUACUAGUUAAAAAACUCAAGAGUUGAUCCUCAGUGGAAGCGAAUUUGCAAUAAUCAAGAUUGUCUGAGUCACCAUUCAUUGAUUAUUCUCACGACGUAGAUGAAUUUUCUUUGUCUACGAUCUAAAUAUUCAACAUUCAUUUUCUCUUUUAUGAAUCCUAAUCAUUAUAUUAUGGUACAAAAAUAAUCGUUUUCCGAAAAAAAAAUCAUAAUAAUGUGUUUAUACAUUAUAGUGAAUUAGUGAUGAGCUUAAUAGCAAGAGUUGAUGGUCUAAUAAUGAGCUAAAGCCUAAAGGACAAUAUUAUUAUGAAUCCUAAUCAUUAUAUUAUGGUAGAAAAAUAAUCUUUUUCAGAUUUUUUUUCCUUCAUAAUAAUGUGUAUACAUUAUAAUGAAUUAGUGAUGGGCUUAAUAGAAAGAGUUGAUGGUCUAAUAAUGAGCUAAAAGACAAUAUUAUGGGUGUGGGCCCGACCCUUAUUAAACCGAUAUGUACAUUUUUUUUUAUAGAUUUGACAUUUACGUGAUUUAGCAUGCAACUUGCCUUAUUUUAUAAAAAUACAAGCUUUUUAUGGCAAGUCUUAACAAAUGAUAUAUCUUAUUUUUAAAUCUACAAAUCAUAUAUUUUAUGAACAGUUACUUGUAGAUAUUUUGUAGGCAACUUAAUAAUUGUAAUAAAUCCUUUACAAUGUCGAACAUGGGGAGGGGCCGAUGGAGGAGGAGACAGUGUACAUCCGAAAUCUUCGAUACAAAAAAAUUAUACUGUACAUAUGAAGUAUUUCAAAUAUUACAUUUUUAUUUAUCGAAUCUCUCAAUGAAAAUUUUGAAUUCGCCAGUAAAUGUGUAUAUAGUUAAACUCAUUAUUAAAUAGGAUUAAGCUAUUAUAUAUGCAUUAGAGUAAGGAUUAUUUGUAAUUAUCAAUGUUGUUUAACCUGUGAUAAUAUGUCAGCCAUCAUUUUAUCCAGAGGCGUAUCUAAGGGAGGGUCACCGGGUUCACGUGAACCCAUGGUCCCCUCCCGAGAUCAUAUAUAGUAGUGUUAUAUUUUAAAAAAAUAUUGAAAUAUAGAUGUGUGAACCCACACUUGAAGUAUCACAUAAUGCGAUUAUGAUUGGGUGCACCUCUCUCCGCGAGGUUAGAAAUUUGAAUUUUUAUAUUUAUCUUAUUUUAUUUUUCUUUCUAAAAUUAGAUAACACUUCUCUAAGUGGUAAUGGCAAUAUAUAUAUAUGAAUUAAUUUUAGACCUAUAAUUUUAAAAUUUUAACGGUUUUCAGUAAAUUAAAAACCAAAAUGUCGAACCGAUCAAAUUUAUAUCAUAAAUCAAUUUUUUUAUAACAGUGCACCCAUCAUCUCAAAAUUCUGGAUACGCCUUUGAUUUUAUGUGGCAACCAAUUAUCAUUUAUCAUAGAAAUUUAUGUGUAAUUACUUAAAAGUUAUAUGAUUGUGUAUAUUAUUUGUAUACAACUAGUACAUAAAAUUAAAACUCGUAAAAUUCCAUGCAAUUAAUUUUUAAGCAAGCAAAUUAUACAAAUAUGUUGACACUAUCGUGAAAUCACAUGUAAUUACUUCUUAAAUAACUUAUAUUUCAAAAAUAAAUAAAUUAUGCGACACAAUAAACAUAGCAUGUAUAUUUACUCAAAAUAAUUUCAUUUCAACAAAAAAUAUUAUGAUACACGAGAGUUUGGAUAUUAUAUAUAUAGCAAAUGCACACAAUAUACAUAUCUCUUUAUUUUAAGUUUGAAUUAUAAGUGUAUCUCGUACAAACAAUGACAUACAAAUAAUUUUUUAUGAUGAUUGAAAUUCAUUUCUAGUGAUAACAUGUAUGUGUCAUACAUUAAAGAUUCAGUAAUACAUUAUAUACACUGCAUUUUGAAAUCAAAUAAUGCUACAUUUUCAUCAAACCAUAUGGGAACACUUCAUAUUCCUUUUUAUUUCACAUUUAUUUUUGAGAAUUUUACACAAAUCUCAUAGUGUUAAGAGCUAAUUACAUGAUAUCCAUAUUCAUUCCAAAUUACUAAAAUCACUUAAAUUUGGUGAAAUCCGGAUCCACCCAAAAUGUCUCGAUACACUGUGUUUCGAUUUCGGAUACAUCCCUCAACACCCAAUACAUCGCGGCUCGAUUUCAUAUACAUCACUCAACGUCCUUGAUUUCAUAUACCAUUCAACGUCCUCGAUACAUCACGUACGUCUUGAUACAUCGCGUACAAUGAUGUAUCCGACCGAUACAUUGCGUUAAGUGAUGUAUCUGACUGAUUCAUCGCGUAAUGUGAUGUACCUGAAAAUAGGAAAUGAGGGAUUCUCGUAAUUUUUUCAAAUGAUAGGAAAUUUUAGAGAAUAUAAUAAAAUAAGUUGUGUAUUUAGAUAAUUUUUUCUAGACCCAAUAACUAUAUAUCUCUAUAUAAAAAUUGUACAAAAUUAAUUAAAUUCAUUCUCUUAGUGAGGCCCAACCUAGUUGUUGUAGUAGUCCUUGAAUGCAUGAUGCUGACAACUCACAAAAAUGGUCAAGACUUUCAUAGUCACCAUCCACAACGGUUCACCACGUCGUUUAUUAAUAAAUGAUAUCGGGUGAAGUGCAUGAAUACUUGAUUUUGAUAUCACCAUGUAAAUCAUAUUAUUUGCAAAUUUUUACUUUAAUUUGAAAUAACGUUAUAUGUUCGGUGUUUGGAGUUAGGAUCGGUGAUAAAUUCAAAUUUUUAACAAUACAUGACUAAAGUUGAAAUUGUUUUUUUUAUUUUUUAUGUUCAGACAUAAAUGUUUGAAGUUCAAUUAUUUUUAUUUGAACUUAGUCAUAUGCGACUGAAUUUAGUUAUUUUAACCUAAAUAACUUUUUAUUCUGAUCAAGUUCAUGCACAUGAUAUGGUCAAAGUUUAAUUAUUUUUUUCUAAAUUUUAAUCAUAUGAAACGUCAGACACUAUAUAUAUGAAAUUAUUGUGUCAAUGCACAUCAACACCACGUAAAAAAAUAUAUUUAAUUUAUUAUUUUUUAAUUUUCUUUUUGUUUAUUAUUAAAAGACGUCUUUUUGUACCAUAUUUAUAAAACAUCAAAUAAUGAAGAAAGCUGCAUCAAAUAUUUAGUUCUAAUAUAGGCACAAACCUUAUUGCUGAAAGGUGUGGAUCUUGAGGGUAUAACUGAAGAUGCCAUUAUUAAAAGAAAUUAGCUUCAAUUUUUGGUUGUCAUUGUUGAAAAAAAUUAGCUUCGAUUUUAAUUAUGACUAUCACUAUUGAAUAAAAUUAAUUUGAAUUUAAGGACAAUAAUGAUAAACUUCGAUGGGGGCUUUGAAGAAGGAAGUGUACGUGUGAGUGUGUUUUGGAGAGCAAAAAGGUGAGAGCUCCUAAAGGGAAGGGUAAAAAAUAUAGCAGAACAAUACUGUAGCAAAAUAAUAUUAUAAUUAAACUACACAAAACAAAUAAUAACAUAAACCGAAGAACAUAGGAACUACGAAUUAAUAAUUGCCACUAAAAAAGAAGUACAGUUUCAAUCUCCAACAAAAUGAUAACUUGGAGGAUUUUCUACACGUUUUUCUUCUUGAUGAUUCAUAAUUUUAAUUAUACAUAAAAAGAGGAAAGAGAGAGGGGUAGUUGUAUGAGUAGUAAUUGGUGAUUUUCAAUUUUGAUAAAAAAAUAAAUAAAAAUAUCAUGAUAAAUAUAAAUAUUAAAAUAACCUGUGGUCCUAAUAAUACCUCACAGUACAAUUUUCACAUUUUUAUUGGAAUAUAUUUGAAUACAAGUAUAAAAUAAAUCUUUUAAUGAUUCGUUAGUACAUAAUUUCUUAAAAUAAUAUUUAGUUAUACAUUGGAAUUUUUUUGUUUAAGACAAGUUUUGUAUUUGAAAAAGUGGUUUUUUGAUUGUGAUCUUUUUUUAGUUCACAACAUUUUAAUUUUCUAUUUUUCUUUUUUCUAAGUUAAAUAAAUGUCUAAACAUAACUUUAAUUUUUCAUUUCUUUAAAACAAAUCACAUUUUUAUGUCUAAACACCUUAUUAAGUUAUUUAACUAUAAUUAAUUUAUUUAUUUAAUUUGAUAUAAAUUGUGGUGUGAUAAUAUACCCCUAGCAAGUCGGUCCUUUUUAAAAAAAUACUAUGUAUCAGAAAUUAUUAUGUUUUGGUGAAUCGUACUUUCUAUGAUAAGAAGUAUAAAAAAUACAAUUGUUAAAUUUUAUUGAGCUUGAUUUAUAAUUUUGGUUAAAUGAAUUAAAUAUGUCUAUUACUCCUAUUAAGAAAAAUGAGGUUUUAAUGACAUGAUAGACCAACUAGGAGAGAAUGAGACUUUUGAAGUCUUUUAAUAUUUCUUGAGGGAAAAAUAAUGAUAAUUAAGUGAUAUUUUUAUUUUAAUUAAAAUAAAAAUAAUAUUUAAAGACAAUUCUCAAAACUCGAGUAACCGAAAAUUAACUCCAAUAGCAAACAAUCCCACCAAUGGCCCAAUAAGCAAGUGAUUCUCAUGGAUUCAUGCUUAAGGUAGAAGUUCAUUUUCACUAUUGCUCUUUGUUGAGGCCUCUACUUUUUCCCAUU